GUAAUGAAGUUGUUUAUUUGAAUAUCGCAAACUUCAUAUAAAAAAAGGCCCGUUGCUUCGGCGCAUCCCAAAUGAUCCUCUUCUUUUUCUUUUUCUUUUUUUUUGAGAGAGAUAAGUAGCAUGUCACCUACUUCGUUUAUUUCAUUUAGAAAUAAACUUAACUGAAAAUGUGAAUCAACUAAGAUUCGAACUUGGAACCUCGAGUACCAACCACAAAGCCCUUUGUCACUUGCGCUAAGGACGGUCAGUCCAAAUGAUCCUCUUAAACACUACAGAUAAAAUACAAUUCGUUUUCAUAUUUCAGCAGAUUAGUGGCCAAAUAUAUAUUUUAGAGUUAUGAUAUGAUUCAAAUGUGAUGAAAAAGCAUGCGCAGAAUAAUUAAAGAGAUAAUUGAUUCUUCCUAGGAAUCAAGAGCAUUAUUUGUGGCAAAAACAGUUGAUCCAAUGGAGCAAUAUGACUUGGCAGAUGUCUCUGUGUUUUUUGGCACAUGAAAGCAAAGGAGAGGAGGGCCUGCACUGAAUCGACAAUAAUUGAGGGAUUUUUACACUUGGGUGCAUAGUGUUGUUUUUCACUUUUACUGGUACAAGUAGCAUAAAUUUAUCUUGGUAAAAUUGUACUUUGACGGGUAGUAACUACAUACUAUUUUAGCUGUUGAUUAAUUAGGUCUAAAUUAUUUUGAUUAAUUUUAAAUUUUUGUGAUUUAAUAGUGGUUCUACUAAAUUUAAGGGCUCGAGCUAGCCUCUUUCGCUGAAUGGAACUGCAUUUUAAUUAGUGGCUUAAAAAAAAGAAAAAGAAAAAGACUUGUUGUUGACGGGUUGGUUAUACAAUUUUACUUUUUAUUUUUACAGCAGAUUUUUUUUUCCCCUUUUGCUAAAAAUGUCUGCAUGCUAUAUAUAUACUUAUCUGUCCUCUUUUAUAAAAGACAACUUUCAAACUCCAAACCUAUCACGCAAGAAGAAAAUUAAUAAUUAUUUAUUCUAAACAGUAGUGGUUAUUAAAUAAUUUAAACACCAACAAAUACCGUAUAAAUUAGUUGUUUGAUAUUUUUUUUUCAGCACCAAAAUUUGAAUUUAACUUUUGUAUCAAUCAUAUAAGGCAUGUUUGUUUCAACGUAAGUAGACUUGCGAUGGAAGUGAACUUUGGGUUGAAGUGGAGUUCGGGUAAUAAAUUAAUUCACUUCUGCUAUUUGUUUCUAACUGUGGAAGUGCAAUUCAGCGAGUUCUGUUGUUUGUUUGGUUGGAAGUAGAUGACGUAAAAAGUAUAGCUCUUCACUCCCGGUAUACUUACCUCCGAAGUGAUAUCAUUGUUUAUUUUGUAACUUAGUGAAUAAUAAAUUAUAAUAAAUAAAAAUUAAUAUAAUUAUAUAUGCAUAUAAUAUUAUAUAUGUAUGAUUAUAAAAUAAAAUUUUACAAAAUCUGAUUAUUUGUUUGCAUAUAAAUUAUAAUAAUACAACAAAUAAAAUUAUAAAGUUAAAAAAUUAUUAACAUUUAACAAAUUCAUUUUUCAUCAUUUUCAAAAUAUACAAAUUAAACAAAAAAUAUAUUAAAACUUACCUUACCAAAUUUGAUCAUAUUUUAAGCAUACAAUCAAAAUAAAAAAUUUAAUUACUUCUACAAUUGAAUAUAUUUGGAGUUAGGUCUAGAACUCGGGAGAGGAAAGAGUAGAGAAGAGGGUAACCUUAACCCUAACACAUUAAUUCCCACUCUUGUCUCUUUUUACCUCACCGAAAUUGACUUCGUCCCAUGGGAGGGGGAAGUCAAUUUUAUUAUUUUGGGUGAACUAGACUUUCGGGCGUAAUAAAAUUAUGAUGAACCAAACAACGGAAGUGGUCUAUUUUCACCGAAAAUUACUUCUCCUUUCCACUUCCACCCCACUUUCGUACAAAUAAACAGGCCCAUAGUGUGUCUAUAUACCAACCAAAAAUAUUUGGUUGGUACACAUCCUAUAUUUACUCAUCCAAACAAUUUUGUAAACUCUAAAAUAUAUAUGGUAUAAAAUUUAUGUUUAUAUAUAUAUAUAAAAAAAAUAAUUAUACUGAUAUACAUAUAAUAUAUUUUUUUUGAAGAAUGAAGUACCAUCAAACUUGGCUUUGUAGUUUGUAGUAGUGGUAAUAAAUGAAGGAAUAAAUAAAUAAAUGGUGCAACGUGUCAUCGCAUCCACCCCGUGAUACGUAACGAAACAUCAUCUGUACCAUCGCGGAGAGAUUUUCUACACUGUACAGCAGUAUGUCUAGUCCUUGACCGGAUCCAAACCCGAGCGAUGAGGGGGUUUUGUACGAAACCAAAAGUUGACGUAAAUACUAAAUAGGCGCCUCGGACCCAUGCAUCAACACUCAUUUCUCUAGAGGGGGGAAAAAAAGAAAAUUAAAUAGUACCAUCCCAUGGAUGCUGUACGUGUUUAAAAAUACUUCUUUUUUUUUUUUUUAUAGAGUUAAUUUUAUACACCUCCUUGUAAAUAUAUCAACAUCAAAUAACAAAUAUAUUUUUAUAAAAUUUAAUUUUUAUAUUUAUUCGUGCAAAAGUCCAGUAGUAUUUAUAUUUGCCCUCUGGUUUGUUACCGUUAAUUGUAGCACUGUUUAAUAGAAAAUAAGUAAAAUGACAAUUUCGCUAUAGCAAAUAUAUCUCCCUAAAAGCCUCAACUGUUAGAAUUAUGCAUAAAUAUUCUUUCAAAAAUUUUCAACGGUCGUACUUCUUUCUAUCAUCACAAAUAAUAUAAAAGGGAUAAAAAGAUCAAUUUACCUGAUUCACUAACCAGGGUUAAGUAUUUUAUAUAUGGUUUAUUAUAUUUUUCUAACAAAUCCUAACAGUCGGAAUAUAUUCGAAAAUGUUAGAAUUUUUGUAGGAAUAAUUAUAAAAAGUUAAGCUUUGUAGAAAUAUAUAUGUUAUUCGAUAUGUUUACAGGAAGCUCUACGGAAUCAACCAUUUUUUAUACUAUACAAAAUUCAAAAUUCUAAAAGUGUUUUACUAUUUUCUUAUUUUUAUUAUAAAAUUGCAGUUUGUAAUCGUAUGUAGCCACGUGCUUUACCGAUAGCGGUUGCAACUGUAACUUUAAUAUAUUAGAAAAAAAAAUUAUCAGUAGUUUUUAAUAUUUUAAAUUUUUUAUAGUAUGAACACUGUGAAUUAAGUCACGUCAUUAUCAAACUAGGACCACAUCAACGGUGGAAUCGAUCUUCUCAAAUCGAUCGUUGCUUGAUUUGAAUCCUCACAGUGAUUUUGAAACUAAGUUCGCACUUAUAAAUGCUGUAGAUCAUAGGUGGUGUGACCGUGUGCGUCAACUUGGAGGUGCGACAAACGCUACAUUUAUUAGGUGGUCCGCGGCCAACGUGACAGGCCAAAAUGUUUUAAUAAUCGUAGGCCCAGAAGCUACAGUAAUAAAUAGAAAUUGUAAAAUGCUACUUUAUACUUACAUGUGGAUAUAAAUUUUACAUCAUUUUUAUUCCAGAGUUUGUAAAAUUGUAAAAAACUUCAUAGUAUUAAAUAUUUUUAAUUAGAUACCUGAAAAAAUAAUGGAGUUAGGAUGAGCAGGGUGCAGAAAUUAUUAUUAAUGCACCUAUUACAGCCUCAAAGUAUUUUUUUUUUUUACUUUUUAGCAAACAAUUAAUUUUUGAAACUGUUCGAAACUUAUGAGGUUUAAUUACACAAUGAAUGUCUAAGAAAUACAUUCUUAAAAUGCUAAUGUUUAGUUUAAAAAACCUUUAGAUGAUGCAGAUAAUGUAUUUACCAGAUAUUUUUUAAAAUUUAUUUUUUUGAGCUCGCCGUUAUUUCAAAAUUUUAAAUAUUGAGUAUCAAGAGUAUGAAUACACAUGUUUGUACGCAAAGUGCUCUGUGGCACUGUGCACUCUACGGUUAUGUUUGGCCACUGGAGUAUUUGAUUGUACCCAACACUUUUCACGCGCUAACGUACUCUUUCUUUUUGGAUUAAAUACGCGCUAAUGUACUUAGAAAUGUCUUUGUACAAGAGAUGGUCCCCUCAGGCCCAACACUAAACCUCUAAAUCCUAUUAUUAAUCCUUCGCAGAUGCGCAUCAAACCGAAGCAUAAAACCCAAUUCCAUUGAUUUUCCUAGCAAAAAUUAGGGCUUUUGUGGCAUCCUUUGCGUGCGGGGUUGCACACCACGUGUUCGACGAAAUUCCUCAGUGAAAAAGUUGGUUUUUUGCUCUGGAUUUUGGUCUCCAUGGCCUUGUUUUCGUCUUCGUCGCUUGGUGGGUCACUUGGGUUUAUUUCGGUCGAGUAUAAGAGACUAACAAUUCCGCUCUUUAAUAGGAUUUGUGUACUCUCGCCCCACCAACGUAGUAAGUUUUAUUAACACUCAAACCUUAUGCUAAUGUUUCAGUUUUAUUUAUACUAAUAGAUUGUAUUAUCUUUUGUUUUUGGAGAGGCUUCUUGGUUGUUUACGAAAAUUGAGGCAAAAAAUAAUACUCAAACAGAGAGUGCAAAGGUCAGAGACCGUAGGAUGCGAAGGAAGGUAUAGUUGGGUGUCCUUUUCUUUUUUUGAUAAUGUAACUAGGCUGAAAAUUUUAAUGUUGAUGCAUAGUUUAUAGAAAGAUAUUUCUAUUGCAGCUGUUUCAAUUCUAUGUACAAAAGCUACAAAUUAAGUUGUUCUUUGUGUAUUAUUAAAUGGCGCGAUCAAAGUUACUGUUCCAUUGAUGUGGCUAGAUUGAAGUUAUUGUUGUGAAUCGUUACGCGUCUUUUUUUAUUCUAUUUGGUAGUUAAAUGGGUGGAAUUGUUGCUCUGAAGGGGUUUGGUCGCCUACGUUUAGAAAUAUGUUAAUGUGAUAGAAAAUGCAAUGCAAAUACUUUUUGGAGCAUGUUCACAUUCACUUUACGUGCCCCCCCACUGUUGUAUCAUGUAAUCAGUAUAGUAGAGAGUGGCAUCUCGGGUGGUAUGUUGACCCUGCAAUUUGAUGAAAAGCAAACUCUUUCGUAGUUUGUGUUGCAGUAAAUUACUGUUAUGUCCAUGUAAUGUGCAAUAAUAGAGCUCAAAUUUAUUAUCUCAAGGUGUAUGUGUUAUUGAUCACUUGCCAAGCUGAUGUUUAUAUUUUAUGUUGGUUGUUGAAAUACUGAGAAUCUUGUUUUUGUCCCCCCUUUUUUUCCCUUCUAAAUUUUAUAUGCAUCUUAAUCUCUUCGACUUCUAGGUAUGUACAUGCCCAUUGAUCUUGUUCAUGUUUUCCUGUUUGGAAGUUUAACGGCACGCCUACAAAGCCAAGGCUCUCUGUCUUCUGUUCGAACAAGCAACUUUACGCCAUGCUUGUUGAUGAUCAAAAUAAGAAGACUCUCUUCUAUGCCAGCACCUCGCAGAAAUCCAUUUGUGGCGAACCCCCUUGUAGUAAAAUGGUUAGUACAUCUGCUUUAAUUUGUAGAAUUAUUUCCCGUUCAUUAAAAUGUUCAAUUUGCAUUAUUCAUCUUUCUUUUCUUCUUCACUCGUGUCUUCUCAAAUCUAUGAUGGUCUGUUCUAAGUUCCAAUUUCCAACCAUUGUGAUUCUAAUUAGCUGUUAGAUAUCUUGGUGUGGUUAAUAGUAGACCUUUUCUGGAUAAUAGACUUUUAAAAUUAUGGCAUCUUUUCUUUUUCUUUUUCUUUUUCUUUUGUUGGAAAAGAAAUAAAUUGACCUUUUAUACUGGCUGUCAUUUAUCUAUUCUGAAUUACGAGCACAGGAAGCUGCUCAAAGGGUAGGUGAGGAGCUAAUCAAGGCAUGCAAGGACUUGAACAUUUUUGAGAUAUCAUCUUAUGACCGUAAUGGAUUUGCUCGGGGGGAGAGAAUGAUCGCAUUCGAGAUUCCAAUCUCACAAUAUGGUUUCUUGUCCCGUUAGCUGUGUAUUGUAUGCGGUAUCUCUCUCUCUCUCUCUCUCAGCCCCUCAUAUCUACAUAAGCUAGUCGUUAAUCAAUAUAGUGUUGUAGUCCGAGAUAGGCUAUUCAAUAACAGCUUUUGUCUUCAGCCUUGUAUCAGUCGAUCUCUUUGACAACCUUAUUCUUUGUUUACAUCGUAAUCUAGUUUCUUAGUAUGUUUUUCCAUUGAGUACUCCCUUUUUUUUUUUGAUGAUUUGUCAAAGAUUUAUCAUGUGGUACCAUUUGGAAAAUGUGAAUGGUACAUGUGAGAGAUCAAAUCAGUCAUUGUUCACUGGCAGUAUCAUCAACAGGAAUAAACUUAAUUGAGUCUUCAGAAUCAGAAAUAUACUUGAGUCCAGCUAUUUGUGUUCUCAGUUCUGAGUUACUAAAGACACUUGGACUCUGAAUCUCUCAAGAAUGAAGAAAUAAGUAUAUCUGAGGUUUUUUGAGGUAAAAUUUCAUCAGGUUACCAGGACUUGCAUUGUACCUUGGGAAAUUCGAUCAAAUUUGUUAGAGUUAGAUAAUAGGACAGAUACACAACAUCUCCAAAGAACGAUUCAAUCAAUCCAAAGGUGCAGAAAAAGAUCACUUUAUUGAUACCCGGAUAGGCCUAACCAAAGUAACAUUAACUGCUAGUUAAGCACCAAGGUACUUAAAUUGCAAUCAUCAAAGAAAACAAACAGCUGUGCUUGCUAAUCUAUCUAUUAUUACAUCAUUCAAAAGAACUUUGACCCUCUUCUGUGAUACUUGGGAAGACUGGGAACUCGACCUUAUCACGGCACUUGCUUCUUGGAAACACGGGGCAUUCAAUGAUCUGCUUUCCUGAAUUAUCAACACAUAGGAAAAUCUGAUACAGUUGGUUGGUACCCGAUUCAUCCCUAUUGCAUUCUAUGCCUGGUGCAAAUCCUAGACCUUCCUUUAUUGCUUCCUUGAUUUCAUCCAGCCUGUAAAAGCCACCUGGUCUGAUUCCUACAAAGAUAUCCAGAACCUUAAUUUAUUGAACAUUUGCAGAUGGAAUUUGGCAUAAUUGUUUCUUUUUUUUCUUUUUUGUAUAUAUCCUGUACAAUUACAUGAAAUCAUGCAUACAUUCAUGAAAAGUCAGUAUUGGUGCACUGGCCCCUGAAAACUCUGCUUCUUACCUCACCUGCUCAUGGUGGGAUAUUGUAUAAACACAGUUUUCACAUUUAUACCCCUCAAAGAAAUAUGCUUUCAGGGUUAUGCACAUGAAUGCAAGCUCUGUGCAUACUUCCGCAAAUUUGCAGGGCUGGGGUGGUAAUAUAUGCGAAAAAGCUGUUGGCGUCUAGACAUAAAAGAGAUGAGCCAGGAGGCCUUAUUACCAGAUUCUCUCAGAAUCUCAAGGAGAUUAGUCUCUUUUUGAAGCCUGAGAGCAGUCUCAAAGUAGGAAUGCUGAUCGAGAACCGAUUCAGAGCAAGUUCCAUGCUUGUUCCAUUCAUGUCCCCAGAAUUUUAAGCCAUCGUUGCUUGGGCAUGCUAGGGUGGGCCAGUGCUUUUGCAUUUGACCGAUUAACUCCUUAAUCUGCACUCAAGUGAAGCCAAAAUAUUAUCUUUUACUUGUUGAACGAACCAUCAAAUGUUUCUUAGGGUAGUAAAUGAUAGAUGCGGGAAGGGGUACGGAGAGACUUACUUCCGAUGACUUGAAAGGAUUAUGGCUAUCACAGUUCAAUGGGUACGAUCCAUCAUUAUUGUUGGGCCACAGGCCAUGGAUUCCGAAAUCAGCGAGUGGCUUUCCGCUGGUUGGAUAGCAGCAACUUUGCUUAGUAUCACAAUAUGAACCUGGCCACUGCAUGAAAGUAGAAAAUGUAGCACUUAACACAGAUUUGUACAAAUAAUGGGAGGCUAUGAUCCUCCAUGAUUGAGGUAUAAUAUGCCAACUGAUUAUUGCAAAAGGAUCUGGUAUUCAAACAAUGAGAUACUGGAAUCACAAUUGCGAUUAUCUAAUUCUGAGUGGUCGUGAUAAGUUUCGCAGGAUUGAACUGUACAAACAACUACUGUAUCCUUCGAAUGAUUGAAUGAUAGCUUGUUUUCUUUUAUCUUCUCUUUAACUAAUGGCUAUGCUACUUUGAUUUUGCAGGUCUGAAAAAGAAAAAAAGAAGAUACAAAAGAAAAGGAAAUAGUGAGUUUAGAAGCCUACCUGUUGAACGAAGUAGAAGAAAUCAAAAUCUUGAGCACUGGAUAGAACUGCAAAAACAGGAAGAGCUAACAGAACAAGCGGAAUUGAGGAUUGAAUCAUCAUGAUUAUGUAUCGAAGGAAAGAUGUAGGAAUGCCCUCAAAUUGAUGGAUGGUUGUUUAUAAGCUAAAGUUAGCAACGUAUAUGGUUGGCAUAUUCCAUGCUUACAGAUUAGAAAACGAUAAGAAGAACAAGUAAGAGAAGCGUGCUCAUUGGUUGUAUGUAAGAACUCUAUAUUAGUGCUGUCAUAAUUUACAAGCUAAGAUUUUUAUCCGAUUGUCGUAUUAGAAGCUGAACAAGUAAAUGAAUUAAUGAAUCAUAGUUAAAUGGUUGGAAUACAUCACUGAUGAGAGCACAUGUAUUCACAUUUCCGAUCUCUCGUUUUAUAUAUUUUAUGUAGUUGGUCUUAUUUAUCACUAGUUGUGUUGUAGCAGAUAAGGUUUCAGAGAUACCAACAGCUUAUCUAGCAUGACUCUUACAAUUUCAGGAUAAUGACCAUAUCUAUUGCUUUAUUACAAUUUGAGUGCAUUAUUGAGAAUAAAAAAUGAAUGUAGAAAAGUUGAAGACACUAAUAAUCUCUUGUGGAAUUUCUGUAUAUUUUUGCAUGAAAAUUUUUGUGUCUUUGGAUGUAAUGUAAAGCUGCCUUGGUUGUUAGCUAUUUCACAAGACAAGAAACAAGCCUUUUAGAUUAGAUUUUACUCCAAGUGUUGAGCUGUUCUUGACCUUUGGGCAACGUAAGGUCUCGUAGGUGGUUACCUUGUCAAUGUCAAUGUUCAUGUUCUUUUUAAAUUGUGUCUCACUCUUUCCCUUUUUCUUUUAAGUUUUCAAUUCUUAAUCCAUAUUAUUAAAUGUCACUUUAUUACUGCUACAUAAAAGAUCAUCCAUGAACUUUCGGGGGUUGUUCCAUUAACUUUUUUUUUAUUAUAAAAUAUAGAUAACAAAAAUGAUAUAAUUGAUGGAAGGAAAAUCCCAAUAUCGCAUCUAGUAAGCUAGCUCUUGUUUCAUAGAGGCUAAAUUGCUUGUUUGAUCGUCAAACUAUGGAGUGCAUGCGUCACUUUGGUUUUUUUUUUUUAAAUUUGUUAUGAUUUUUUGUUUGAAACUUAUAAAUUGUUGUAAUUCAAUUUCACAAUAUAAUUUAAUUGACUAAAUAUUGAUAUAUUACUGAUAUAAAAAUAAUAUAAUAUUUUAAUUAUUAUCACAUCAUCAAUUAUAACACUGCUAUAUUAUUUUUAGAUUAAUAACACAUUCAUAUUUAGUCAAUUAAAUUGGAUUGUAAAAUCUAAUUGCAACAACUUAAAAAAAUAAAUGAAAAAUUUUAAAAAAAUUAAAGUUUGAGAAUCAAAGUGUCACUGAAUAUGCAAUUUAGCCUUUCAUAAAGCAUUGGAAAGUUAUAGCAAAAGAAAAAAAAGGUUAAUAAUAAAUUUUGAAUUUUUGCUUAAAUAAUACUUCUAUCAAGAAAAAUAAAAAAGGGAGGAAUCUAAGUUUUAAAAUUGUAAGAUCAAUAUUUUAUUGAGUGGGUGGCAUACAAAGGAAAUAAAAUACCAAGACUUUUUAUUUUAUAAAGCACCAACUAAGCCCUCCGAAACAUAAACGUGAUAAUAAUAUUUUUUUUUGAGAAAAGUGAUAAUAAUAAUUAAUUUUAAAGCACCGAUUGUACGUGUGAGCGCCACACAGGAUAUCAUUAAUGACCAUGCGCAAAUUUUGGCUAAAUAAGUGCGGUGCAUGUUUUUUUUUGGGCGAAUCAUUUCGACACCACGAGCUCUCGCGAAGUCAAUGGGACAUAAUAAUAUCUUAUUCCUAGUUAAUUUCCUUACGUUUCGCGGGAUUAUCAUAUCCUCAGCGCAAUUUUAUUUGGCUUCGAAAAUAACUUCCAAUCUAGAAGUAAGAUUUUAAUAAUGAAAUUCACAAGAUCUCUCUUUAUUCAAAUAUAUAAGACUUAAUAAAGUCUAGUUUGGUAUAUGGCGACUCAAAAUAUUAUUAUUUCUAUAUGCAUGAAACGGUUCAAAAAUUCUAAAUAGGCUUACAAUUUUGUUCAAUAUAUUAAAAUUACAAUUAUAGCUGACACCAAAGAAACAUAUAUAUAACUACUAUGUCUCUAGAAUAUCUACCUCAGGGUUUUUUUUUUUUUUUAAGAAAAAAGGAUUGGUUGUAGAUACUUUAAUAUCAACUACACUUCUUUCCAAGUGCAGCUAGAUAACUUUUUACUCAAGAAAUCGAAUGAUCUAGCUCCAUUUUAUCAAUCAAUUCAGAGUAUUAAACCCCAAUUAAUACUAGCUAGUUUGAGGCAUAGGUAGUUGAUACACUAGCUAGUUUAUCCAUAGGUAAUUGCCUAUUCUUUCCUUAUUGACCAGCAAUAUGUAAGGUGUACAAUAUUAUUUCCACAAAUAAGUAUCAUCUUAAGAAUAAUUAAACUAGGACAUAAAACCAAUUUGACCCGGCCAAGUCACAUUGCUAUGAAUGGUCGACCUUCAAUGAUAAAUUAUGCAUUUAUACAAUUUUAUAGUAAGUAACCUAGGAUAAUAUCAUUUCGCAAGUCACUGUCAUAUUUGGCGGCGCAAAUUAUAUAUAAUGAUAUUAGGUAUUUUUGCGCUAGUCCAUACCAACUUGUAUUACCCUAGCAAUAUUCUUAUUAAUGCAAUAUCUUCGUCCUAUGGACUAUAACCAUUAUUAAGUUUUACUAAGUCACAACUUUAAUUAUUAAAUCAAUAGGGAACUAUCCACGCAUGUUUCUCGUAGAAAAAAUAAUGAUCGGGUACAAGUCUACGAGUCGAUCUCCUUACUUUAUUAUUUACAGUUGCGUUAUUUUUUACACGCCACUACUAAACUAACUACUUGUGGAUAUACAUACAUGUAGAUUUUGACAUUGUGGAUAAACUAGUCCACAUUUUCUCGUUUUCGCACAUAUAAGCACCAAAGCUAUUUACAAAAUAGCAUUGUAAAAUUUUUAAAAAUUGGAUUUUAUCUAAAAAACGUAUUUGUUUUUAACUUCUCUAAGGAUUAAUUUUGGUUAUAAUUUAUCUAGAAUAAAGUGAGCGUUUAAAUGCUAAGAUAUGGUAUAACGGCUCACCUCGAAAUAAUUAUCCAAGAUGACGUGGACGGUUCAAGGUGGUAACGUUCAAACUAACGGCCGUUAAAUACCGCGUAGACAAAAUCGUGUUUGAGACCUCUCGACGGAGUCACGGUAACACUCUCCCCGUCUACGCGUUGUACCGAACGAAUCGAACCCUCGCUUUUCCUCGUCUUCGUUUCUCUCUCUCUCCCCUUCCCCCGGUCGAGAGAGAAAGGGAGAGGCGACGCUUGAUCCCUAUAGAGGUUAGAGCUUCCGAGGUAGGUGAAUUUUUGGUUUUGCUCCAAUGAUGAUGAAUUGUUUUCUCGUUAAAGUUGUUGCUUUGAUGAAUCCAAUGGAAGGAAUGCUUCAGUUUGGUGUAGAUUUUGUUGGUAUCGGUAAUCUACAUGGUCUCAUUUUCGGGAUUUGAUGUUUCAAGGGUUUAUGAUGGAUAUAACUUCGAUUAUUUUGCUUCUGAUCAUCUUUUUUUUGUGUGUUGUUUGUGGGAUUUUGGGAGCAUUAUGUUCUUCCUUGUUGGUGUUCUAGGGUUUUCUUCAUCGAAUUAGUCGUAGUUGUUGUUUCCGUGAGGCGUCAUUGUAUUUACUUUGUGCAGGUAGGUGGAUCUGGUUAUAUUUUUAGGGAUUGGAGCACUUGAUUAAUAGAAAGGACUACACCACGUAAAAAAGGACGAAAUUUUGGUUCUAUUUGUUGUCUACUUGGUGGGAAGGAAACGGGAAUGGGAGACCAUGUGGUAUUGAAUGUCGAAAAUCUGAUAAAGCAGGGGACUGAUCCAUCUGUUGAGGUUGGCAGGGGGUUUCCUCCUGCUGCCACUUCAUCCUCUGCAAUAUCUCAGAAUAUUAGCAAUGAGGAAGAAGAGCCGCUCAUUCAGACGGUGGAGUGUCGCAUUUGCCAGGAGGAAGACCACGUUAAGAACCUGGAGACACCGUGCGCUUGCAGCGGGAGUCUAAAGGUCCUGGCCUUCUCUCAAUUCCUUCUUAGAAAUGGAUUAUCUGCAUGAGCUAAUAAAUCUUCAGAAUAUUUCCAUUGAAUGAUUGUUGUUUAUCAUGUGUUAAAUCGGUAGCUAAAUCAUGAUAAUUAUUGGAGCAGAUGUUAUGGAUUUUGUUUCAUAGUCAUUUUUUUACGUGUUAAUUGAUGCACAUCAGAAAUCAUUCACUUGUUUUUAAAUUUAAUUGGAAAGAGGUUUCAUUGAAUGCUGUUAGCUAAUCCUUUUUAGGUAUAUUACCUGAUAAGGAAAUAUUUGAUCCCGCUCUAACUUGCUCCAUAGGAUGUUCAUUAUAUUUGAGUGUCCUAUUAAAGAUAUGGAUUAUGUUCCUAACUGCGAUAUAUGAUUGUAUUUUCUUUUUGUUUAUUCUACUCUAUGAUAUCUGAUAUACUGAACUCUGCGCCUCAUAACAUGUUCCCAUGGAGUAACUUAGUGUAGGGUGUUCUAGGAGGUCUUGAGAAAAAUAUAAUAACCACCACGCAUGGCGUUUCCGUUCCCCACGUGACUCCAGGGCUGAAUGCAAUCCAUUUCUAAUUCUUGAGUUAUUUUUAUGACUUUAUAAUAGUGAUGACUUGUGUUUUGAUGGGCUUUUGGAUGGAAAUUUCCUGCUCAGUUCACGCGGGGGAGAAACUUGUUGUAUGAACCAUUAUGACUUAUGAGACUGUACAAACUGCAUAUAUGGUUGUUCAUGCAUCUCCAAUGUUGGUAUAUGUACACCUAUGAUCUGAGAAGUCUUCAUGUAAUCAUUAUUACAGUAGAAAACAACAUGAGAGGGGUUCAAAUCAAUUUGUUUCACGUUCUAGGGCUGUAGAAAACUGUGUAGUGCUUGUAAGCAAGAUGUGGAUGUGUUUUUGAGACUCACAAAUGCAUCAACUAUCUAAAGGCACUCAUUUGGACAGAAGUAUUCUUUAGUUACCUUUUCACUGUUGGUGUAUUGUUAAUAUGAGGUCCUUUUGAAAUAUCUUAUUCAUGUUAGAUGAUAAAUCUGCAAAUAUUUCCUUGGAAGUAAUUAGUAUGAAAAUAAAUAUGUAUAUCUUAAGAGAGUGAUGGCUUUUACGUUUGCAUAUAUAUUUAUUUUCCUUUUCCAUAGUCUCUGAUACAUUCUAAGUUUGUAUUUGUUGUUUUGCACAGUAUGCCCAUAGGGCAUGUGUACAGCGCUGGUGCAACGAGAAGAGAGAUAUAACAUGUGAAAUUUGCCAUGAGGUUAGCGUAAACUCAUUUUGUGUAUCCUCAAUUAGAUGUGGUCUUUCCACUAUGUCAUUUAAUGUAUGUCCUGUAAUUGGUGUUCAUACUGGAUCUUUGUUUAUUUCAGUGAUCUAUAUUUUUUUGAGUAGAUUAGAAUUGGCUUUAUACUUUACAUUGUAAUUAUUUGACUUUGGAUGAAAAGAGCAAUAAGUUUGUUUUUUUAAUUUUCUUUUUUUUGCCACAUGGGGCCAUGGAGAAGGGGCAGGGGUGAUAGAUACCUGCUAGCCCUCCCAAUUUUGCCCACCACCUCAUCGUCCUCUUCUCUCCUCUCUCUCUGUCUCUCUCUUCCCUCUGUGUGUGUGUGUGUCGCAUGCGCGCAUGCGCGCGUGUUUGCUCAAAUGGGAUGGGCCAGGCCUUAAGAUUCAUAAUUAGGUUGUCUAUUCUUGUUAUACACAUGUUGAGCCUCUCUUAUUGGUUGUAUCAUCUAAGUUGAAAGUUUUCUGAAAUAGUUGGAUUUUUAUGCAUUGUCCAGUCAUUUCAUUGAAUAUAAAUUUUGGUUCCUCAAAAAUGUUCUGCAGCCAUAUAAGCCUGGGUACACUGCACCUCCCCGAGCUGACCCAGAUGAGACCACCAUUGACAUCAGGCAAGCUGUUUGCCACAUUUUCGUCUCUUCUGUUGUCUUACAAUGUGAAUUGAAGUUGACAUUUUUUUUUCUUUCAUUAGGAGUUGUUAUUGUACUUUAGUUGUUAUUCUUGCUAAUAUGAUUAUCAAACCUGCAGCGGAGGUUGGACUAUUACAGGUACUCCUUUGGAUUUGCAUGAUCCUAGGAUACUUGCUGUGGCAGCUGCACAACGCCGCUUUCUCGAAGCCGAGUAUGACGAAUAUGCUGCUACAAAUGCCAGUGGUGCAUUUUGCCGUUCUGCUGCUCUGAUAGUGAGUACUUUGGAUUUCUUGGUUCCUUUUUUUUUGUUGUAUUAGAUAAUUGGCAUGUCAAGGAAACAAUUAUUUCUUAAGCCAUCUCACUCCACAGAUUUUCCUUAUUGUAUGUUUGGUUUCUCCUUUUCUUUUCAUAAAACAGAUUUUCCUUAUUUUAUGUUUGGUUUCUCCUUUUCUUUUCAUAUAAUUUUGGAAACCACAGGCAAUAAAUGUAUAUAUGUCACUUUAAGGGAUCUUUCUCUUUUUCAGUUGAUGGCCCUUUUGCUAUUGAGGCAUGCUUUGACUAUCACAAAUGGCGAUGCAGAUGAUGAUGAUGCCUCUACUAUGUUUUCAGUAAGUGGAGGAUCGUAUGCUUUUCUUCUAUUUCUUGACUUUACCUUAUAUUUUCACUUAAAACCUUCACUUGAAACAUUGUAAUACUCAUACGUUGUUUACAGCUUUUCCUGCUAAGGGCUGCUGGAUUUCUGUUACCAUUCUACAUAAUGGCAUGGGCCAUAAGUAUUUUGCAGCGUCGAAGGCAGAGACAGGUAUCAUAUGGAUGUAGAUUUUUCCACUUUCAUGGAAUACAUUAUAUCUCAGAUGGAAUCUAGUAUUUGUCAGCUAUGGAAAUGGUAGUAACAUUUUGGACAAUAACAGAAUCUUCGUUGUAAUUCAUUAAUUUAAGAGUUGGAAAGAGGUAAUUGACCCCUUCUAGUUGCUAAAAGAAAGUAACUACUAUCUUUGUUAUAUUGGCGCUUUAAAUGGAGUUACUAAUAAUUGUCUUGUUACCAGUUAUUCUUUUCCCAACACACCUAUUUGUCAUUGUGGAUAGUUGAUUAGAUAUUCCUUGGAAUACUUUUCAACAUAAUAUCGAUUAAUGCAUCAUAAAUACCAACUGGAGUGAUCUAGUUUUUAAUGUUUGAUGCAUAGAGCAUCUUGAAAAGUAAAUAAAUUUCUUUAGCGUAAGUAAAUCAUGUAUCAAUUUAACUGUGUUUCUCUUCGAAUUUGCUGACUGAUAAAUGAGGUCAAUGAUGUCUUUCCGCUACAACUAUAGUCACACCCUUCCAUUAUUGUUUAUGUUAUUUUAUUUUUUAAUCUUUAUUGGCUUGCUAUGCUUUAGGAAGCUGCUGCUAUAGCGGCAGCUGAAGUGGCAUUCAUACUUCGAUCUGGGCGAGGUCGGGACCUCCAAGUUACUAUAGUACCCGACUCCCCCGCGACUCCACAGCAAGAGCCUCAUCAAUAGAGUACCCUCCUGUAAGUGUUUGAUCGCAUCUUAUUAUUGUAUGAUCCAGUUUCGGAGAGAAAUUUUGCAUCAAUUCUAACUUUUAAUUUUUAAAAAAAUUAAUUUUUAUGUUCGUUUGUUGUUUAGUUUUGGAAGAGCAGGCCUUCUGGUUAUGAGAUUAUUACUACAUUGGCAUUCUUAUAGCGGCGGCAGAGGGGGGAAACUUGCAGUCACCUGUGUUUCUCUUUUUUGUGUUUUUCUAAGCUUACAUUUUGAUUUGAAUUUCGUAUUUUAUUGGCUUGACGGCCAGACUUUGGUGUUAUGUAUGUAUAUAUUUAAAUUCUUGAGAAUUCAAUGGCAUCAAAUAUUUUACCUAUUUAUUUUUAAGCUUUGAUAUAACUUUAUGGACCUUUUGCACCCACGAGUAAUGUAUGGGCAUUUUUGUCAUUUCAUGCAAGGCCUUGUAAGUUCAUGCAUGUGAGUGCACAGGUAGAGUACGUUUUGGGCUUGUCAUAUUUCUGAUGCAGAAUAGUGCUUGCCUCUUCUCUUUAUAAUAAUACAUGAUUGUUUGUUUGGUAUCGUUUUUACUUUUACUUUUGCAUUUGGUUUUGCUUUCGUUUUCGACUGUGUUAAUCGCUUGUAAAGCAUUUGUUAAAGAGGGGAAUUUGAAAAUUUUUCUGUAGUGAAAAAUAAAAUUAAGAUUUUGAGUUUGGAAAAUGAAAAAUUUUAUGUAAUGUUAGAGAAGGUAUUGGAGUGUACGCGUAUCACUCUACUCGAUGGAACUAUACUGUGACUGCGAAAGGCCUAAUAAACGGCCCAUAGAAUGUAGCGUGUCCUCGAGGCCCAAACCCAAUCUUGAAGACGUACGAAUACAAUACUCAAUACGGGUCUUAGCCCGGUCAGGUUCGGGUUCAAUCCAUACAUCAUCAUGAAACGCGUUUCUUUUCUGCUUCUAUCUAGAUGGUUUUGAAACGCGUUUCACAUCCUGGAACCCACACCACGCGACACCCUCCGCGCUCUUUUUCGCCGCACAUUUUUUUUUAAAACAAUUUCGGAGGGAAAAACCCGCCAUUUCCCAGUUUCGAAUUAACUACACAUCUCAGAGCGAGAGAGAGAGAGAGAGAGAGAGAGAGAGAGAGAGAGAGUGGAGCCGAAGGUCUCUCCGAGCCCGACGACGAGAGUAGGGUGAGAUCUCCGAUCCCUAGAGAGAGAGAGAGAGAGAGAGAGAGAGAGAGAGAGAUUGGUGUCGAGGAUUCCUUUGAUUCUGACGACGAGAGAAGAGGUGAGAACUCCGAUCCGUUUCCUCUAAUGCGAUUCCUGAUCUCAUCUCCGAAGCCUCUUCUGUAUUUUGCAUCCGAUCUAUCAUGGAUCUGUUCCAAUCCAUCUUUACGAUUGAAUUAGCUUAUAAAUUGUAUAUGAUCUAUCCUUGCUUUGCUUCUUUGUGGUCAUUGUUGCUUCCGGUAGAUCUUGUUAUUCUAAGUUGGUGUUUUAUCUGAUUGUAGCUAGCGUUUUGUGUCUGAGUUGUUCAAUUCUCGGAUGUUUGUUAUUUGUUUGAGUUUAUUUGGAUUUUUUUUAUGCAUGUAUUAUCAAAAUUAGUAUAGGCCUCUUUGUUGUAUUGAUCAACUAGGGUUUCAGCAGUUCGUGGAAUGAAAUUGAGUGGGAAAACUAUAUUCCAUCCACAGAUUUGAUCAGUGCGUCGCCGAGAAUUUGGUUGGAUUUAAUUAUCAAAUCACAAACAAUUGUGUGAAUUUUUUGAGAUCUUAGGGACUCUGUGUACGUUGUUACCAUAUGCACGUAUCUGCUGCUUUCUAAUUAAAUUGACACCACAAUAAGGUUAAGUUAGUUGGUGGGCACAUUUGUGGGGCUUUUUCUGAUUUGUGUUCUUUGCUGCUUUGAAUUUAAAUAAUAUGGAUUAUGCUUCUCAUUCAAAUCUAGUAUUCUCUUGGUUCUCCAUUCAAAGCAAAAGUGUUCUCUCAGCUUAACCUUUUCUCAAUUCAUUUUUAUGAUAAUUGACUGUGCUUUUACUGGCUAUUAACCUAUUGCAAACCUUGAAACUUUAACCUGGGUUUUGAGCUUCCACUCAUGGUGUUAUUCUCCAUUGCCAGUUACUAAAAUUCUUAUCAUGCUUUUUAGGUGGAAAAACAAUGACUGUAUAUUUUUUCGGUAAUUGGUGUCUUUCAGCACGUAAACAAGCUGAAAUCUUAUCUGUAGGGAUCAGUUUAGGAGAACUACUGAACAAAAAUUUUUCUUUUUCUUUUUUUUUUUCGUAACUCUUUGAUUGUAAUCUAAAGUAUUCUAUUUUUUUCAGAUCUGUGAUCAAUGAAUACUUAAUUCUCUGCGUUUUGUUAUUUCUCUUCUUCACUUGUUUGGUUCAUUUCAUCAGCCUUUGGAGCUCUCUUGAUGGGUGAAGCCUGGCAGAUGCAUCUUUGUUUUUAUUUGAUCUCCCACCUAACUGCAUUUGCAAGUAAUUGCCCUGAAGUUUCUUCUUCAUGAACUAAUUUCAAUCAAUAUAAUAUUUGCCCCAUUUAUGUUACAUGAAUCUUAUCCUGUCUUGCUAGGGUCUACCUUAUUGUCAAACGACAUUUAAUUAACUCAUUGAAGGCUGCAAUGGGGGAGGUCGAAUUGCAGAGGGUACUGAAGGUGAGUUAUAUUUACUAUUUUCCUUUCUAUGCAAUUAAGUACAACAUGGCAGGACGUAGCGUGUCUAGAUUUAUAGUUCUCUUACUUGCAUGUUGUCAAUAUUGUUUCAUCAAUUUGCCAGAGUUAGCUAAACAUGUUUUUUUUGGUCAAUUUCUUCAUUUGUUUAUAUUUCUAACCAAAUUCUACAAUUUUUUUUGUGUUGUUAAAUACAUAUUAAAAUUCGUAACAGUUUGUCUUACUGAUGACUGUAAUCCUGUAAUGACCUGGUUUAGCCCACAUCAAGCGACUGUCGGAGUUUGGGCAGCAACAACUAUCCAUCUGUCCGUUUCCCAAAAGUCUCUAUUGGCAUCGCAGUUGAAAAAUGUCCAAAGACAUUCUCUGGAACAGGAGUGUUGCUAAAUGUGGCCAUGCCAACUACCUCAGGAAGAGACCUCUCUCAGGGAAAAACUCCAGAAGAAAAUAGGAUACUUGGGACGAUUAAAGACACAGAAGAAAUAUCCACAAAACCUAAAGAACAGAACACUUCGCCAUGGUUCUCAACAAGAUCUAUCCACUAUGAAACAUCAGGGGCAGAGACAGUUCAGGUUGUCGGGAACCAGGCUUCAGUAGUGCAGUUAGGGGAUGGUGUGUACAAGAAAUUAGAUACCUUUUCUUUCAGGAAGAGAAGGGAAGCAGAUGGAAACAUUGAACAAGCUGAAAAGGUUACAUUUAAUACAGUACAGGAAAUGCGCAUUCGGGAAGGAGAUAAAAGCAGAGAACAUCCUAUAGUAAGGACUGACCACAAAAACAAAGCCCUCAAAAUGAAGCUGUGGGAGAUACUUGGUGCUGGUUCACAAAACAAGCAAACUGGUAACUUACCUGAUCUUGAGGAAACAAGAACAUUAUAUGACAAUUGUCAAAGAGAAGUGUCACCAAAAGUUGUUCCACCAGAUGAGCAGAACGAUGGGAAAUUAGCUGAUCUUGAGGACACAAGAACAUUGAACGAGAAUAAUAUAUCAAAAGGUAAAUUACCAAACUCAGAUCCAAUUGAGACUGAUUCCAGUCUAAAUCAAGUCAAAAUGAGACCUGUUACUCAUUCCCAGACGCGCAAUAAAGUUCCACCUGCAAAAGUACUCAAGCUGCAGCACAAGACUCCAGGUGGAAAAAAGCCAUUACCUUCUUUCAGCUCAGACUCUAAGAAGAAACAAGAACAGAAGAACAUUUUUGCCUUUGAUGAUGGAGGAGGGAAACUUAGCAACGUGGGACGAACUGCUAGUGGCACUUCAAACAGUUCUAAAUGGAAGAUUGAGAAUAAGAAGGCUAAAGUUGAACCUCGGAGGAUUCAUUUUCCAAGAAAAUCACCUUCUGGAAACAGAUUGCAGUACACUGAAAGAGAGCAAGAACAACUUGUGCCUGAUAAAGCAUCAUUGCAGAACAAGGAAACAGGGCGUUCUCCUUCUUUACCAGACCAAUUUGAGACUCCAAAAGAAGUAAAUGGUAACACCCAUUCACUAAGAAGAGUGCAUGAGUGUUCGACCUCUCAUAAUUAUGUUGGUAGUCCAUUUCUUAAGAAGAAAACUCAAUCACGGGAAAAUGAGGUAAGUAUGGCAGGGAGAAACAAUGCCCUUCACCAGGAAAAGGUUUCUAAUCCAGGGGUGCCGAAUUAUAAUGACAUUAGAGAUGAUCUGCAAAGUCCAACUUUUGCAAUGAAUGCCAGCGCAUCUCCACAAAAAAGUGAACUACCGGAUGAAGAUUUCUGUAGUCCUUCUCUUCCGAAAAGUUUGGACUGUUCUGGAACAGGAUCUUAUGCUUCAGAUGGGAAUAAAGAAUCAUCUGUAUCCUUUAUCUAGAUAUUCUUUAGUACAUUUAAGAAUGCCAGUAAAGUUGUUGUUUAUCUAGACGACUAGGAGUAGGUGAAAGAGAUGUUGUGCCUGGUCCAAUUGUAGUUUCUUAAUGCGCUAAUCAGAAUGAUACCCAUGAAACUCAUGAGUCGCAAGAAGUGAUACCUCAACACUUUGAGGAAGAAAAAGAAUCUGGAAAGAAACCAUUUGGAACCUCCAUAGAAGAUCAGAUGACUCGAAGCGCUGAAGGAAAGGACUACUUUAGCAACGGUAAAUAUGCUUCUAUUUUUUGUAUUCCUAUUGUUUAGACAAGUGGCAUUGUUCCCAACUUUGCUACUCUAUGCUUGCUUUACAAUCAUAUUGACGGUAAGACAUUGUACUUGUUAUGUUUAGCAAGCUGUCAGCGUUUGUCACUUGUAGGAGGUCCAAUUCCAUGCCCACAUGUCGGUCAAUUAAGUUAGUCAAUGUUGGAUUUUCAACAAGUAUCUGAUCCAGCUUUGAAAAUGAAGUAGUUGCUGCUGCAAUCUUCUAAUCUAACUAUGUACCUAAUCCUAUGUUUGUCUGCCUCAUAUUUGAGAAUGAAUUAUUUGAUAGCUGCAGCUAGAUAGGUAAAUUGAUAAAAUGUUUUGUAGCCACCGAUCCACAGAUUUCUAAUUAUGUUUAAUUUUACUUUUCCGUAUGCAGGAUAUAGCCGGCCUGAAAAAUUGUUUUUAGACUCUGAGAACUGCAAAUCUACUCCCACGUUUCUCAGAAAACAGGGGCACAGCCUCAAGAAUGAAAAAGCAAGCAGAACAAACAUAUCUUCACCUUCUCUCGUUGUCACUUCCCGUAAUAUAUUAUUUUGUUUGCCUCUUCUCUGUUGCUUUUCUUUUUUCAUUUUUAUUUUACUCUUAUCUUCAUUGGCCUCCCUUUUAUUAGGAACAGAAGAAACUGCUCUACUAGAUAAAGCUUCAAAACAGUUCCCAGAGAACUCCUUACAAAGGUCUUGCCUUUUGGUAACUUAAUAUUGUAAUACACACUUAAUCUCAAGGAUUCUCAUAUUUUAACCAUAGCAGGGCUGUUUAUCAGCUGGCACUAGUGCUGGAAAGAUUUAAGACAAAGAUUAAGUCUCAUACGGACAAGAAAAGCUCUGAGAUACUCUUAGCUGCUGCAGAAAAAGUACAGCUGGAGUUACAGGAUGCUGACUCUAAUAUGGAGGCGGAUGUGUAAGUUAUAAGAUAAUAAUCUCAUGCUGCAAUAAUAAUGAUAUACAUUUUGUAAAUUAGCUUAAUAGCAACAUUACUUUCUAUUUUGCAGAGAGAAGUUUGUCAGCUUUGGCAAAUCCAAGAGGAAGCGCCUAGAAUUGAAAUUCCAAGGUAUGGAAACAUUUUACCUUAGGUCCAAUACAUAAAUACAAUAUUGUCUAUAGACUACCUGGGUAAGAAGUUACUACACAAGAUGACAGUAGAAUUACUCCCCCACUCAUGACGCACUGCUGGUUUGCCAGGACGAAAAGAUGCAUCUGUAGUAACCUUAGUAGGAGAAAGUAGCAUAUUAUUGAUAUAACCAACAAAUGUAAAGCAAUUGAUGUUGUUACUUUCUGACACCUUAACCUGCCAUUCACAUCACCAUUCUAUAGAAACAUUUAGUAUAGCAUGCCGAAUUAUCAAUUCUUCACAAUUUUCAUGUCUUACUACCCUUUUAUGCGUUGAUUGCAUAUUUUGCGUGUUCUUGUUUCAAACAAACUUGUCUCAUUACAUCAUUUCUGUAUCUACUGGUGUACCUCAUUAACUGAUUUACUUAUUGUUGGACCUUUACUAUUAUGUGAUAGAGCAACAAGAGAAACUGAAGACCAUACAUGCGAAGUUUAAAGAGGAGGUUAAUCAACACCUUGUGGACUGCAGGAACGCGCUUGAGGAGUUUGAAGCACAUCAGAUAGAACUUAAAGGAAAUGCAGAGAAGCUAAGUAAGUGGAUUUCAUGCUCUCUUGGAGACUUCAGAACCAAAACAUGACUCUUCACAAUAAAUUAAUGAAGAUGAUCUAAAAUAGGAUUGCUCUAAUGAUGUUUGUCUUUUGCUUUUGGUAAUAUUUACACCAUCUUGCUGAACUUGCUGGUUUCCCUCAAACAGAGGCAUUGCACCGUAAGCUUCUUCUAAAUGUUGAGGAAGCAAUAGAGGCUCAGCUAGGUGAAGCGGAAACAAGAGUUGCCGAUAUCCGCAUGGUGAGUCCUUAACCCUCUACUGAACAAAAAUUUCAUUUUGUAAUUACUUAUUCAGAUAAUGAAAUGGGGGCAAUUUACAGUUGAUAACAAUAAAAUGGUUAAAGAAGAAUGUAGAGAAUAGCAUGGAAAAUAAAUUUUUAAUGUAUAAUUCAGUUAUAAAUAUAAAAUGAAGAUGAGAAAUUUGCAUCUAUGUGCUGCAGGAAGCACGGAAAAAGAUGAAAGUCUUGAAACACGUGUUGAAGGAAUGGAUUAUGGAAGGAGAAAGUUGAUCGAUACUUCCCUACAUUGGACAAAAUUUAUAGAUGCCUGUAGCUAUAGGAGUGUAAAUUCCGACUUGCGGAGAUCUUUACUUCGGAUAAAAGCAACUACAGGUAAAGUGAAGCUCACACUUUAGUCUGGUUAUGUUUUAUGUUGAUCGCUAGGGUUAAAGGUCAAUUCUCAUCUGUUAGACUAGCAAAGGCAUACAUUCACGCUAUUCCUUUAACAUUACAUCCGCUAAUUGCUUUACUGCGUAUAGUGAUUUAAUUCCUUGAUAGAUACAUACUUCUAUGUUCUUCUGUAAAUUCUACUGAUUGCUGCAUCCGCCAGCAAGGUACAGAUAAAAAGGAAAUAAAAAAAAGAAAAGAAAAGAGGCUGCUAUGUGACAUGGGAAUUCUGCUUCAGAAGUUUGAUUAACGAGCAGUUUUUGUGGAAAAAUAGUCUCCUAUUUUUCUGCUUUGACUUUUUUGAAUGCUUAUUGGAGGAGAAAAUGGUAGGGUGUAGCCGUUAGGCACGUUUGGAUUGGAUUGUUGAAAUUUCUGUGUUGAAUUUGAUUCGUGCUUAUGUGCAUGUAAUUCAGUGUCAAUCGCAACAUAGCGUUUAUAUUCUUAUUUGGCAUUUGAUAGUUUGACAAUUAUCAAUAUAUUGAUCGAUAUACAGGCCAUUUGGAAAUGGCAUUCAAGUAGAAUAUGAAAGUGUAUGUAAAUGUCAAAGCCUGUGUCCAUUCGAGACUUAUCGUCCAGUAUUUUGCAACCGAAAAGAGUAAUAAAUGUCCUAAUGGGACGUAUGGAUACGUAUCUCUUUUUGUUGUUUAGGUUCAAAAACUUGCAAUAUUUUUUUACUGCCAAAGCUUAAACUAAAACAAGCUUCAUUGCUCAAACAGUAGCGGCUUCAAUUUGAAGUUUUUAAUAUUUUCGUAAUAUGUGGAAUUUGUCAUGCAGAUUUUAAGGUGAAGGAUUUAAUGGCUUAAAAACUUUUUUCAGUAGCUUUACUCAAAGAACAUUUAUGAAAAGGCUACAUUUGAAAACAUGUUAACAGCUUUUGCAGUAAAAUCUCCCAGCAGUCUAUUAGUAAUGCUAAAAGUAAGGCUUGAAACGAGAACUUUGCAAAAGCACAUCUCAACUUCGUACUCCAAUUGAAAUUUACAUCAAAAAACUACUUGAGACGGUACAAAAUAGUGAUUAGAAUAUAUGCAUAGUUAUAUAACUCCAAAGAAGAAAAUUAGCAACUCAAGUAGUUGCAGAGUUUGUUAAAAUAGAACCUCAAAAUGUAGUCCUGAAACGCUGCAGAAAGUAAUAUUUGGUAGAUCAACAAGGCUAGAUGUACUUUGAAUUAUUGUAGAGUUAUUACAACUACCAUAAUAAAGCAGCAGCAGCUAUGUAAACUGCAGAUAACAGAAAAGGAUAGAAAACACAACCAAUAGAUUUUCUUCAAGUGCUCGGUUACAAUUCUGAUUUACUGUUAUAUUAACAUGAUUUAUUGUGCACUUUCAUAUACAAGCACUAUGUGAUGCCAAAAAUGGUGCAUCUGCCUUUUGCAGAUGUCUAGUUAUUAUAUUGCCCCCUUAUUGAAUAAUUAGUAUUACAAAUACACAAAAAUGCUGUAUAAGGAGGGCCCUCAUUUAGUCUCUCCCAUCAUCGUUGCAGAUGGGGAUAAUUUUUGCGACUACUAAAAUUAAGUAAGAAUUUGGCCAUGGAGGCAGAAGCUACAUGAAUAAGUAAUGUUUCCAUGGAGAAGAACCUGUGUGAAAGAAGAAGGUAUGCAUUUUUCACUCGAAUCCAAGAGAUUGUAGGGAUGUCUCUGGGAAAAACUAAAGGAAGUCAGGUUGACCAGUAGAUGUCAAGCAACGAUGCCACAUCCGACUAUUGGGGUUCACCAGCCUAGGAGAUCUAAUGACUUCGGGAAUGGGUAGGUAGACAUAGUGCGUGUUGCAUAUGCCGGUUGUAAUGCCACUAAACCCAGCAAAGGCACCAUGAACCUGUAGUAACAUUUUGUUUGGCGAUCAUUAGUCCAUUUAUAGCACCCUAGAAGUAGAAAUGUAAAUGCCAACGUUGAAGAUGUUUAUAUGUUGUAAAGGAAAUAUAUGAGCAAAACCAUAUGACAAGAGCUAUCCGUAACAAAACAAUACUAUACAGAAGUUCUACUUUUUCUUCAGAAGCAUUAGUAAUUUGAUACGGCUCCCUAAAGAGAUUCUUACAGCAUUUUGUCCAAGUACGGUGCAGAGGAUAGCAUCAGAUGCAUUGGCACGGACUGCUCGGACCAUAUAGGUCGGAUCAAUGUAUUUCACAUCAGCAUGGACUCCUACUUCCUUGAAAUGUCUUUUGAUCUGCCACCAAAAGUAUAGUAUUAUUGUUAAUAGAAGGUAAUCAGGUAUGACAGAUAUGGGCAUAUCUACUAAUAAUUUGUACAAAAGUUGCAUCCUGAUAUUUAGAAUAGAAUUAUGCAGAGAGUACAGUAUGAUAACUUGAUCGCCACACCGCAUAAAAACAUAUUGCCAAGUCAGGUUUCAAAAAAAAAAGGGAUUAAAGAAAGUACACUGGAAAAUCCAUGUCCUCGUUCAAUGUUUACUCAACAAGCAAAGUUCUAAUGGCCAAUAAAGAGGAAAAUCAGAUUCAACAUAUAGAAACCCCCCAACUCUUUUGCUAUUUAAGCAUUACUUUUUCUCCUGGUAAAGAGCCAUGCUCAAUACUCUACCUAUACUGAAACAUGGUUAGAGGAAAUGAGAGACGAACCUGCUGUUGAAGGUGAACUCCAAUGUCACUAAGAACAACAUUUCCUGAUGCAUCUGUUGCAUUUGACUUUUGCAGCAGCUCCUGAAAAUAUAAAUGGCUUAAAGAAAACAGCCUAAAAGAAAUUAUAUAGAAAUUUACAAUCUAUAUACCAGAAGAUGGUAGAAAAGCAUUCUUGUAUACUAUAAUAGAUGAAAAUAAAAUGCACAAAAUUCUUGUAAGAAGAAAUAGGCUACACAGAUUUAAAGGCAUAAUUUUUCGAAUAUUCUCUUACUUGUCCUGCUCCUUCAGCAACACAAACCACAGCAAAUCCUUUGCUUUUUAUCAAAUGUUCGAGGUGUUGUAAGACCCCACUUGGUCCCUCUAAAGUAAAAGGCACCUUCAUUUGAGUGUUACUGAAUUAGAACAGAUAGUCAUAGUUCAUGAGGAAAAGGGUAAACGAACAUGAUUACAAUAUACCUCUGGGAUCAAACAGACAUCUGUUUGACCGCUAGCAAGUGAUGCAUGCAUGGCAAUGAAUCCACUGCUUCUUCCCAUCAGCUUGACCAGUCCAAUGCCAUGAUAAGCACUUUGUGCCUACAUGAGUGCCAAACAAACUCAUCAACAAGAAAAUUCACAGCAUCUUCUUGGUUUUGCAAGGAUGUAUACAAGUAAAACUCUCUAACACAAGUUCUGAAGUACAGCAAAAUAGCCACCUAAGAAGUAUAGGGAACUCUUACCUCGAUGUAUGCAGAAUUGAUUGCCCGUUGAGCUGCUUCUACGGCCGUAUCAAAACCAAAUGUCUUGUCCAUUAGCUGUAUGUCAUUGUCUAUGGUCUUUGGCACACAAACAACUGACACUUUCAGUUUUCUCUUCCGGCACUGCUUCAAAAGAAAGCAGAUAUAAGCAUGCAGGUGACUUAGAUGAUUUCAAGUAUAAAGCACAGAUGGCGUGGUUGACAUCACUUGAGAAUUUACAAAAUUCAGUUUAUAACAGCAAAGUGAUUCAACUGAAAACUUGGUUUUUUACCAAUCAAAGAAGGAAUACCUCAUUGUGUAUUGCAUUAGCCCCUGCAUGUGUGCCAUUUCCACCCAGUACAAAAAGCAUAUCAAUUCCCCUAGCCUGAAAUGUGAAAGUGACAACUAUCAUGUGAUUGCAGUUUAGCAGGGAAUCAAUAUUCGGAAUAUGACCGUGAAUUGUAGAAGAGCUGUCUAAAAACGAGAAGGAAAUUCAUAAUAUAAUUAUAUACGUACCUGAAUGCUGUCUACAAUCUCACUAAUUUCUGCCCCUCCACGAGAAACACCCAACAAACUCCCACCAGCAAGAUUAAUGUUUUCGACAACUUGACGUGAAAGCUGAAAGUGAAGAAAUAACUCAGAAUACUGAUAGAGAGUAUGACCAUCCAAAUCUCCAUUCAACAGACAAAAAGUAGAAGUUCUCACCAGUAUUUCUGACAAGCCCUUCUCGAAAAAUCCACGAUAACCAAAUGGAAUUCCUACUAUAUUUUUAACGCCAUAUUUUUCAAGGGUGAGCACAAUCUGCAACCACAAGAGAAUAUUAAAAUGAGAGAGCAAAGUAGGCUUUCUUUCUGAACCAUUCUUAGAAAACAGCUGAAUCACUCAAGUCUGGCCAUUCGGACCCUGAGUUGGUCCUUAAUCUGGCCGAGUUAUAUCCCCUCUAUUACCAUGGUCAACUUGAUGUAUCAUAUAUUAGCUUAUGGCAUGUAAUCUAAUUGCUAUAUGUGCUAUGAUAAUUUUCCUUGGUUUGUUUAAUAUGUAAUGUAUUUAUAACAUCAUACUGACAUCAGUUUAUUUAAGAAAUCAUGUACAUGCAUCAAAAAAAUUUCAAAGCAAAAAAACAUCAAAAGAUGAUCAUACAUUCUUUAAAUCUUUCUAGUUUAUUACACAAAUUUUCAUGGAUCACUAUUUUUGUUGGAGUUUUGUAUGUAGGGACUUGAACCCAAUAGUCUUUAAACUAACCAAGUCAGGACAAUUAAAACAUGUUUUUCAGAGAAGUUAUUUGCAGUUCCUAAUUGGAAACUGCUAGUAUAAAAUGCCAAAUCUAUAUCGUACAAUCAGGAAACAAAAUUACAAGCUACAAAUGCUAAAUGAAUAGCUAGGUCUCUGUUAGGCUGCAGUGAAUUGAGUGAAGUGCAGCAGAAAAGAAAAUGGUUGUUAAAGCGAAGAUAUUUUAUACAAAGUAAUUUCCAAUUGUGGCAACUAACCUGUCUAAUGACAUCAUUGAGACCAGGACAGAGCCCGCCACAAGUGACAAUACCAGCUUUUACAGCCUCAGGUUCAAAGUAUAUUUGCUGACGAGGCCCAGCACGAUGCACCCUGAAGCAAGACAAAUUAAUUUUGAAAAGGAUAUCAAGGACUCUGCCAGUUAUAUAUUUUUAAUCUCUGUUACUUCAACCAGAAAGGCCGCGAGCAUAGUUCAAGUUAUCAAUGGGUAUAGAAACGAACAACAAAAGAAAUGAGAUGGAGAAAACUUCGCAUGAUGCUUUGUAACCACAUAUGGGAUAACAGCAUAGGAUAAGUCUAGGAGACCAACACAUGUUCCAUGCAUAAUUCGUGUCUUAUUAGGAAGAAAAAAUGAAUUAAACUGACUAGCAAAAUUUUAAUGCUUCAUAUAUAAGUACCAUUGCUCAACCCAUUCACAAUCAGGAUCAAUGCACUCCGCUCCAGCAGAAUUUGGCGAAGCGAACUUAAUAACCUGCUUUCCAGUAUCAAUAUGAAAGAAAUGUUAAUAAUCUCCAGUGGACUGCAUAAACAGAAAGUUGUGUUCACAAUGCACCAAACUAACAGCAAACGAAUCAACUAUUGAAGAACUUGUGAUCUAAAGAAGACCUUUAGAAGGGCCCUGUCAUCAUCAUUCACAUAGCCGUUCCAUCCAUUGAUUGGUGCACCAUUACCAUUGUUUAUAGGACCUCUGUCACAACCAUCAAAGAACAUAACAAUUGUUAGAAGAACAGAAUAUUGUCUCCAACGUGCUUCAAUUAGCAGAUGUCUAGCUCAAUAUUUACAAAGCAGAGGUCUAGCUCCUGAUUACAUAUAACUGUAUAAGCAGCAAUUGGCAGAACAUAAAUGAUCAAUUUUUGAUAUACCCCAAACUUUGAGUUGCAACAUUGUAAGAAGGAAAAGGGUGAAAUCACCUUCUCUUCAAGGAGAAAGUAGUUGGCCUUGGCUCAAUAUCAAGAAUAUCCCUCAAAUGAGGCAAAUUAAAUCGCUUAUCGAAAUCCUCCUGGAAGUGCUUUUUCCAAUCUGGUUUUGAAAACUCUAUCUCUGGACUGACAAAGACAGAUCUAACAACCAUAGCUUGCGAUCCCGUUCUAGCCCUCUUCUCAUGUCUGCUCACUUUUGAACGAUUAAAGCGACAGAAAUGUGGAUCCCCACUCUGACGCAGCCCACAUUGCUGUGGACUGGUAGAACCAACACAAUUAAUUGACGAUGCAAAAGCCAUUUCCUAAAUGCUAGGAUAUCAAGUUGCGGACGGAGUAAGCCAAGCACAAGAAACCUGUAAGCAACAAUAAGAAGAUAAACAUGGUCCUUUACCAUAGUAUUUUAACAUAAGUUAUUAUAACAAUAAGAGAAAAGCUAAACUCCAGUCACCGAUAUCCGAGAAACCAAAUUUUGUUUCCAACCCAAACUACUAGUAAUCAGUUCUAACAAAGUUACAUUUCUGAACUCUGAAGCCUUGUUAUGUUACCCAAAACACUUCUCAAUUCCAAUUAAGGUGCCAAGAGCUACUCUAGAAAUAAAAAAUCACCAUGUUUUUCACAUCAUAAUAGAACCUAACCGAAGCUACAACAACAGAAGGAAACAUCCAACAGCUUCUCAUCACUCUACCACCUUAAAAUUGUGCCUUCUAAGAUUAAAAACCUAUAAUUCCAAAUUUCUUAAUACUUUUCCUAAUACUCCUCGUCACUCUACUUACCAAACACGCUCCACUAUCUUUUCAUUCUCAAAUCAUCAAUAACCAAACGUUAAAAGCAUUUUUGCAGCAAUCAUAUGAUCAUUAAUUCAAUUCGACCCCUCUCCCAGCUUCGCAUCAACAUAACAUACAAAAACAAGAUUACGCGAACAAGUUUACCGAUAUCAUCAUACAAUUCACUGCCAAAAACACGUCGAAUUCAGAAGAUUAGCACAUCUACAAUAGAAUCAAAUAAAAUCCAACCAUAACUGAAACAUUAAACUACAAAAAUUAACAAACCAAAUCAAUGUAAUCACAAAACAAUCAAAUCAAACGGAAUAAAAUUCCCCACCUACCAAUCACGAGACCUUCGCUUUCUCCUCCACCUACCUCCAAACCCAAACCAUAAAAAGAAUCGAGACAAACCGCUACAAAUUCGAAUCACCUCGAAUAGAAUCGAAGGAUCGGAGACUCCAAACCCUACUUCGCCUCGGAAUUCUCCUUUUUCGCUCUCUCUCUCUCUCUCUCUCUCUCUCUCUUCCAAUUCCACCUCCUUUUAUUUAUAAAUUGAACGAGGAGGGAAGGUAAAAGGCGAAGGAGAAAUCGCCCCUUCGUACCUACAUUAUUUUAAUGAUGGUCGUAGCUUAAUUAUGAGGUGAAGUUACCGCCCCCAAUUCGCGCGUGCGAUGAAAUCGGAGGAGCGGGCCCACUCGGUUUUUAUUUCGCUGCGAAUCUGCGAUUGCGUUAUUCGGUAAGUACGUUGAUAAACAUACGCCUUAUUUUUGAGAGUUGCACCACUCCCCUAAAAUUCUUUUUUACAAGAUAUUUUAUAAAAUAUGAACAAUAUAUAACGAGCUUAAAAAUUCACUAACUCCACCAGUAACUACAAGAAUGAUCAAACCAGAAUUAGAAGCUCAAGACUCGCUAGUUAGACCAAUAAUAUAACGCUAAUCAAAAUAUCAUUAAUUUUGUAUUACUAAUUUAAUAGUAUUGAAUAAAAUUACUAACAACGUAUUUUCAAUUAUAUUGGUUCUAUUAAAUUACUAAAACACUAAACAACCAACAUUUGUACCAAAAAAAAUUUGAAUAUUAAUUAUAAAAUUUAUAACUUAUCUGAUUGUAAUCAAAAAAAUUUAUUAUUUUAAUGCACAUUUACUAAAAGCUAAGCUUUAUAAGGCUUAGUUUGGUAUUGAGGUCUAUAUAACGUUAUUAGAUAAAAUAGAGUUGAGGAAAAAGCAUAUAGGGAUAUGCUUCUGCGUUCUCCGGUGGGACCGCAGAAAAUAUAUCGUAACUGACUCGUCGCAAUAUGCAGAACGCAAUAUUACGUACGGAAACAAACAGGAUAUUUUUUCAACGUACUUUCUCACCGCAAUCUCAAAUAAAAUCUAAAUCAAUUUGAAACUAUGUAGAUGGUGCUUAAAAUUAUAACUUUGAAGUAUUCCUUCUAAAAAAAAGUGAUGGGAGGGGGAAAAUAGUAGUGUAUUUAUCAUUUUCCUCGUUCUAAUUGGGUGUGCUGACGCUGGUGGGACAUGCGGACGUCAAAGGAGACAGGUGAGGGAUGCCGGUCUAGAAACCAGCUGAGGGUGCGGUCACUUCCGGUGAGCUCACCUCUUUUCUUUUCUCUUUUUUUUUACUUUAAAAAAAGUUUAUUUAUUUGGGCACCGUUGCAGAAUUAAGCCACGAGGAUCACGUGGCUGGUCACGUGCAGGAUUCUACAUGGGCCGGGUGGGCCGGAAUGGUACGACCCGUUCCAAUUUUUGUUCAAGCUUUUUUUAAAGACUUUAAUUUUAAUUUUCUGUUUUUACUUAUUUAUCUAUUUAUUUAUUUAAUGUUGAUGUUAAUUUUUAAUUAUUAAUUACUUGUUAUUGCGAAGUAACCUGUAAGCAAAGUUAAGCGUUCAUAUUCUCUUUGUUGACCUUUCCGGAUAGCGGUCGCUAGGCUAUAUAUUUUGAAAUUUAACUCGGCUUAAAACUCAGUCUAAACCCGUUACGAAAACAUUAAUAUUGACUAAUCUCAAAUAGCUCUUUCUUAGAGGGGACUGCUACGAGCAAUAACAAAUAGAGACUACUAAUUAUUGGUGAGGUAUAGGUCAAAGAAAUAAUUAUAAAGCAGAAUCCCCUGAAUGGAAAUUUAGAUCGUCGUUUUUCAACAGAUAUUAAGUAAUGAGGAGACUUUCUUUAAUUUGUUGCGUAUUCCAAUAGAUCUACAUCACAAUUUUUAUUAGUUAUACUAAAUGAGAGUUUUAUCAUUUUAUAAUACUGUAGUAAUACUGUUUUGCCAUGAAUAAAUCCCAAGAGCAUCAUGCUUUGUUGUUGGCUUUUACUUAUUUUAUUACUAGAAAAUAAUAACGUACCAAAUGUGUUUCUAUAUUAUAAUAUUAACUAUUGUACUUCUAUAUGGAAUAUGACUAUUGCAAUAUCACAUGUGCAUGCUGUUCUCGUGGGUUUGCUAUUAUUGAAGGAAUAUUGUUUAUUUUAAUUGGUUAAUAGUCCUUGCUCGCAUAAUUGUGUAAACAAAAGGCUUGGACAAUAUAUCCCCCCUAGACAAGGUAGUUUAGACGGUUAAAUAUCAAAAUUUUAGUUCCGAUGAAUUACUUAUGACUAUGUUAAAUCACUUGAAUAAGUAUCUGAUCAUUUAGUAUUAUUUCAACGUUUGCUAUAAGGCGAUGGCCUACAUUUGUAAAUGGGCCAAAUUGGCCGAUUUGCACAACUUAAAUGGGCUAUAACUUAUCUGGCCCAUGUCAGAACAUAGCCCGAAUCCCAAUAUUGGGUCCAGGAGUUUUUUUUUUCCUUUUUUUUCCUUUUUUUCUUUUUUUUUUUUUUAGCUCUCCGCACUGAUUAGGGAUGCAAAUGGGUGGAUCCGGGGCGGGAGAGUUCCCCCACCUUCCGCUCCAUUUCUUAUCGGGGCGGGGCGAAUUCGGAGCGAGUUACUUUUCAUUUAAUUUUUGGCUCCCACUUACCGCUCCAUUCGGGGCGGAUUGGGGCGGGAGCCGGAUUUUUGACUGAUCGGGAUGGAUUGAAGGAAGAAAAGAGUCACCCAUCUCCCGCUCCAUUUACUUGGCGGAUCGGGGCGAAUUUGGGACGGAUUAUAUUUUUUUAUAUUUUUUGUCCCCACUUACCACCCCAUUCGGAGCGGAUCGAGACGGAGCUCCACCAAUCCGGAUCCAUUUGCAUCCCUAGCACCGAUCCACGAAUAACCUUUCGAUGGAUCUCCACCUUUAUCCAACCAAUUACUAUUCGGUAGAUCAAAUGUUCCAACGAGAGAAGGCCACGUGGCAUUGAUUUCGACCUUACCUCGAGAAGCGGGUAGAUGGGGGAGCUGGUCCGGCGCACGAUGGACCACGUGGGCUCGGUUUGCCGGCCCUCUCAAUCGUGGGCCCGCAUUUUGGGCCCAAUGUAGGGGGGUUUUUUCCCUCUUUGAUGGAGGCAGCUGGAUAAAUUUAAAAAUGCACGAAUAGGAUCAAGCGAGCACAGAGUGGCCUCGGAAAUUAUUCCGUGCACCCGGUUCACCGUGCACUACACUCACUCUUUUAGAUUCUCCCCCCAAUGAGAAUUUAGUUUCUCUCUCUAGGGAAGAGAAUGUUUUAUUGUAUUAAUUUUUAAAUAUGCAUGCGGUGUAUGAGAUAUACGGAUGCAUUUGGUGGAGACAAUAAUUUCUCGGUGGCUUGUACGUUAGAUAUGCCAACCUGUUGCUUUCCAAAGGAAAGGGAAUUAUCGCGUAUGAAAACAAAUAUAGUAAUUGCACGGAGGGCCCAUUUAAGCCCAAUUGGCAUUGAUAGUAGGCUUGGAUCGAUUUGGUCCUAUAAUACGAGUGGAUGUGCAUUGGGGGACGUGGAGUCGGCUUGGUCCUUGCCACGUGCAAUUCAUAUUUAUCGGUAUUUUGUUUCUGCAUUUAGCUACAGUUAUAGUUACAGUUAUCCUAACAUCCGACAUAUGCAAAUAUGUGUCGAACUUUUCGUCUUCUGAAUUUGCUGUAGAAAAAAAAAAAGUUAUGAAAAAGUCUUUUACUGCCGUGCUUUUUCAAAUUAUAUGUUUUUAGAUUUUGCUAUAUAAACUAGUAUUGUUUAAUAAAAUACUACAUAAAAAGUGCCAAUGAUAGAUGAGGCAUAUUUUGUUUUCAAGAGUCAUUGACUGAUGAAUAGCGCUGCAACCUACGUCGGGGGACCAUUGAAUGUUUAUCCACACCACCUAAGUUUUAUUUAAAUUUGUGAUUUUGAGAAUCCUCCUCUAAAUACGAUAAGAAUAAACAUUUAAUAACAUUGUUCUCUCGCAAUUAUUGAUAGCAUAUUUUUAAAAAAUAUAUGUUUAUUUUGUGAUUGUGGAACAAUGUCGUCCUGGAUUACGCGGUGGUAACAUGCUGUGGUCUAUCCCAACAACGAUCUCGCACGCGUGCUCGCACGAGUGGUAGUGAUUGCUUCAGUGUAUUGAGCCCAAAAAGACGAACAGUGAUACUGUUUCUAUCUGCUUCUUCUCGAAGCUGAUAACUACUGGGAGUAAAUGAAACAAGCAAUUAAUUCGACGUGUCCAAAAUUAUUAUUGGCUCUUACAACUAUUGAAAAUGAUGAUCCUGGGCCCGGAAACUGCUUGUCCAUGCACAGGGAUCGUGUACCAAAUCUGGAACAUACAAGAUUAUCACAAUACAUCCAUGCAUCAGCACCAAUAUUAAAUUGGCUUAUUAUUUCAUCCCCAGUUGUAAAACCAAUUCUGAACCAUUCAUGCUGUUUUUAAUUAGUUGUAGAUGCGUUUCAAAAAAGUUACACUUCUGUCCACUUUCUGAUAGCCGAUAUAGAUUGAAUGGAAUAACAUAAUCAUUUAAGACAGGAUUCACAAUCUGACUUUUCUGUUUUAAAAUAUCAAUCAACUUUUGAGCUCAUGGAAGGCGCUUCAUUGAAUUGCUAUUUUCUUUCUUUUUUUUUGUAUUUGUACUUUAUUCAAUUUUAUUUUUAUUUUUAUUUUUAUUUUUAUUUUUAUUUUUUGGAGGCUCUGACUGUCUUCACUAUCGAUGUUGAAUUUAUUUUCUAUUAAUAAAUGAAGUGGAUAGUUUACUAUUUUUUUCUCAAAACAAAAAACCAUUUAUAGUAAUAAAAUUAUUCUUAAUUUUGAUAAUAUUAUUGUAGAGUCAGUACUGAGCUCUCUUAGUUUCAAAAAAAUAUCCAAAGUUCGAAUUUAUUAUCCUCAUUUUCACUGGUCACCACUCCUCGCACUCUCUCUCUCUCUCUCUCUCUCUCUCUCUCUCUCUCAUACACAUUUGUAUACUCUGGAGAGUGAAGUUUCAACAGAAUAUCUAUAGUGCGUUCAAAAUUAUUAAUCGUCCUCGUGUGGGAGGUUUGCGUACUAUGAAACAUAUUUGAUGUAUUUAUACAAAGUUUAGUGUAUGUAUUUGUUCAAGCUUAGAUAAUGGUAUAAGAGAUUCAAUUAUGGAACUUACGAAAGAAAAUGAAAUGAUGUUUCAUAGUAAGCAAACGACAAAAGACAACACAAAAAUAAUAUUCACAGCAAAAAUAAUAUUAUUAUAUAUGCUCAAUCUCCAUUGACAAAAGUCAAAAUUCGUUAUAAAUUUUUAAUUUCAAAGAUAAACAAAAAACCAGCCUAAUAAAAAAAUAUAUAUAAUAAAACACUAAGGCUGCAUUUUAUAACAAAAUAACUGAAAAAAAAACUUUUUCCCCUUGUAUUCUGCCAAUUACAAUUGCAUUUGACAUAAAUAUAUUUGGAUCCAAAUGAAUUAUUUCAAGUUAUUAUGAAAUAACUGUUGACGGUUUUUUCUUUCUACCCUUGAAAUAGAGCUAUUAUUUAAUUUAUCGAUCCUUUGUCUCGCUUUUUACGUAACAUUUUAAUAAACUGUAUAUCAUACCUUUUCACUAUUCUUCAUUAUUCUUAAAGUUGUGAUCAAUUAGAGGAUAUUCUCAAAAUAAGAAGAUAUUCCUAAUUUAAUGGUAGAAACUCAUUAAAGAGCUAUUCCUUCGUAUUUGUGAAAUAACCGUUAUACUCUAAAAGCUUAAACUAUUAGAGAACGGUGUUUAAACAUUUUUAUAUUUAAAACUUCCGCUCACGUCCGGGUUCGAGACUUUUUAGUCGGCCCAUAACGUGGGCUAGAAUUAAAUGGAAGGAAAUUAAUAUGUUAGGAGUCUAGCGUGAUUUGAACUCAAGACUUCCUGCUCUGAUCCUAUAUGAAACAACCGUUAUAUUCUAAAAGUUUAAGCUAUUAGAGAAUGGUGUUUAAAUAUUUUUAUAUUUAACAGUAUCCUUUAAAAUAGGGCUAUUAUUUGAUUUAUCCUGUCUUCUCGCUUUUCACUCCACCAUCUCCUAUCUUUUUGCUAUUCCUAAGAAUCCACUCUCUCCUACCCUUUCACCCUUCUUUAUCAUUCCACUCUCUCCUACCCUUUCACUCUUCUUUAUCAUUUUUAUGGCUAUAUUUGGUUAAGGGAUAUAUUUGGAAGAACAAAAGAGAUUUUUUAUUUAUACCCAAACACCAAUAAACGAUGAUGGAAUACGUUGUUCUGGUUCAUGUCUAUUGUUUUUUGUAAAAAAUAUUCCUUUCUUCAUUUUAUUAUAUAAAUAGAUAAGUAAAUAGAUAAAUAUUUUUGGAUAAAUAGAUAAAUAAAUACGUCAUUUCUCUCUUUAUUUUUGGAUAUCUUUCAAAAUAUUUCUGGAUAAAUUCGAAUAUAAAUUUAUUAUUGUUCUAGUUUAUAUUAAAAAUAUUUUUUAUUCUCGAAACUAUAAAUGUUAUCCCCAAAAUUUAGUUUUUGAACGAAACAAAGCUUAAAAGAGAAUAACAAUUAAUACAUAAUUUUAUGUAUCAAACCAAAAAUAUGAUAUUAUUCAAAAAAAUAAAAAUAAAAAUAUCUACACAUUCAAGAGUCCGGCUACUAUACUCUUAUGAGUACGAUCGUCCUUGUAUUCAUAAGUUGUUUUCGAUGAUAGAGUUUCCGAAUCGAUGAUCUAUACCGUUAAACAUUAUCUAGAACAUUUAAAAUUUAUAGAAAUCAAAUUUUAUAAUUUUUCGAUAUAAUUUACCUUACGAUCAAAAGAUUACAAAAUUGACAAUUUUUAACGGCCGGUAUGAGAUAAUUGAUCAUAAAAUUGACAAUUUUAACAGCCGGUAUGAGAUACUUGCAAGUUUAAUGGUGUAAAAGAGUCGGAAUAUGUUGAAUUUUUGAUAAAAAAUUCUAUUCACUACCUAAAUAAAGAUCAAUAACUCCGAUCUUAAAUUGAAGGAUCUAAUCAUCCAUUUUUAAGAUGUUGUUUGAUUUUGACCGAUCAUUUUAUACCCACUUGAUGGACUUUAUAUUGAUUUCAAAAAAUUACAAAAUUUGUUUUCUAGAAAUUUUAAAUAUUCUAGAUCAUGUUUAACGGUAUGAAUCGUCGAUUCGAAAACCCCAACAUUAAAAAUAAUGUAUGAGUGCAAAAAACUUUAUACUCAUAAGAGUAUAAUAGCCCUAGCUACUCCACAUUCAAAUAUUAUUUCAUAUAUAUCCAAUGCACCUAGAAUACACUAUCUAUCAUCACUCAUCAUUCUUAUCUCCCCGCCUCACCCCCGGCCAAAAAGAAAAAAUACCAACAAACUAAUCCUUAAAAAAAAAAAACUGUGCAGUCUUCUUUUUUUUUUUUUUUUUUUUUUUUUUUUUGUUCUCUCAUUUCACGACAGUUUCUCUAACUAAUCUAAAAUCAUUAUAAUUUUCUGCAUAUAUUUUAUUUAAAAUAAGAUACCCAACCAAAAUGAAGUUUUCACGAAAUAGUUGAGUGGAAUUCACUAACUCGAUCUCGAUCCUAGCGCAUGUAGAGCGCCGGCCGAGCCUGCACACGCGAGAUCGCGACGUGCCCGGCGGCGCCGCCGUGCUGACGCGCCAGCCCCAUCUCCAUCUUCUUCAAGCUCUCCAUCUGGUACCGCUCCACUCGAUGCUCGCCUCGCUCGGCUCGUACGCCGUCGUCGGCGCCGACUCCGUGAACCGCCCCGUGUUCGUCGAUAUGCUCUCGAGCUCGAACAGCUCCGAGCUCGACUCGCUGCGCACGUCGUCAUCCUCCUCUUCCUCUCCGUUUUUAAAUCCGCUCCCAACGGUCACUUUUCCCGCCACGGGAUUCAAAUUCGGCGGGAAAGAGAGAGCCUCCUCUCUAAGCCCGAGCCCGAGCCUCUCCAUCCGCAACUCCCUCACAAUUUGCUCUUUCGCCUCGGCGAUUCGAGCCUUCUCGCAUUCCGCCUCCACUUCCACCGCGUUUCUCCCCGAACACGAGCACCGGAAGACGCCGAGGAACUUCCUGCCGCGCGGCUUGUCGGGAGGCGGCGGGGUCAUGUCCCGGCGGCGGCGGUCGCGUAGCAGAUUACUCCGGCUGUUGAAGCUCGCUUCCGAACUCGUCGUGCUCUUCGUCCCGGACUUCGACUUCGCGCUCGGCGCUUUCUCCUCCGUCGCCUUCUUCGCUCUGAUCUUCUCGGCCGCCGCGCGCUCCAAUUCGCCGUCCAUCACCCCGCUGAAGUACUUCUCCGCGCCGAAUAUAUCGAUCUCGCCGUCGUCGGCCUGCCGUCGGUUCGAAGCGGUGAGGUAGGAAUUGAAUGAAUCAUCUUGGGGAUUGAUUGAGGCCAUGAUGAAGAAGAGUGAGCGGUGAGGUUGGUGGAACUGUACUGUGGCAGAAGAUGAGGCUCGAAUCUUGGGGGGUGGGGGUUUAAAUAGGCGAGGAGGGAAAGCGAAGGAUCGAGGUGGUGGAAUCCAUAUCGAUGUAGAGAAACAGUUAAAAGAUAAGCCGGGGAGGAGAGGGGAAGGGGAAGGGGAAGGGGUUCUGUGUUGAGGAUGGAAGGGUUAAUGAGGGCCAGGUGUUGUUAGUAGGAGUCGAGGGGGACGCUGUAGCUAUUUAGUUGGAGACUCAAGGGAUCAAGGGACCACACAAUAGCAUAGGGUACAUAAUAAUUUGUGCAAUUGUUAGAUAGUGAUAGGAGAGCUUGAAAUUCUUUUUUGAAAAAAAGGAUGAUUGAUUUGGUGGAAUAGUAAUGUUCUUAUCUUGUGUGAACAUUAUUUGUACCUUUUCUAUGUGUUACUUAUAGGAGUCCAUUUAAUUUUUUCAAGUUUGAAGUCCUUGCCUCACUAGAACACUCUCAUUAAAACAUAUGAAUUGGAUCGCGGUAUAGAAUGUGAAUGGUGAGCUUAUUAGCUGGAUAAUAGUGAGGGACAUAUCACAUAUAUAUAUUUUUUUCAAAACUCAUGCAACUUAUGCUUUUGCAAACUAUAUGAUUUAUAAGAUAAAACACUUUAUUAUUUUGUUUAUUCUAUAUUUAUGAAAAACCGAGAUUGAAAAAAAAACAUAGAAAUGCUACAAGCAGGAGGAUUUAUUAAAACUUGUUUUUUUUUUCUUUUCCGUUUGUAAGAAUUAAGUGGGAUUUUUUUCACUUCGAUCUUCUCAAUUUAAAGAGCCAUAUGAUUGAGUGCACAAAUGGGCCCAAUUUCCAGGCCUAAGCUGGGAAUUCAUUAAUUGGGCCUUCCCAGCCUGAUAGGCUGAUAGCACCGUGGGUACGUCCGCAUCGCCCAGGCUUGGUCCAGCGAAGGAGAGUCGUAGUCGUUUGUGUUCUAGACCCGGUCCAUUAGACUUGGUAGAUCUCAGAUGAAAGACCCAUUAACAAAUUGGUUUGCUCCUCAACGAGGUGAAGCACUAUGUUUAGUUAGGCUGCAGCUUCGUUUGAGAUUGCGGGGAGAUUGCGUUACAUGCGGUGAAAAAUGACGAUGGAAAAAUACCCUGUUUGUUUUCGUACGUAUUAUUGUGUUCCGCAUAUCGCGAUGAGUUGAUUACAAUAUAUUUUCGACAGUUCCACCGGAGAACGCAGAAAUAUAUCCCUAUAUAUUUUUUCUACAACUCCAUUUUAUCUAAUAGUGUUAAAUAGAACUCAAUAAAUCACUAUGUUUAAUUUUCCAAAAAUUAUUGCAUGGACCAGAGUCUAAUAAAUUGAGAUAUCUGAAAAAGUAAAAAAAAAGAAAAAAAGAAAAAAAAGAAAACUGAGCUCUUAAUCCCAUAUAAUAUGAAUGGUACAUUAUUUAAAACUGCUGAUAUUUCAAGGUUAUGAUCACAUUUAACUAUUACAUUAAUUUUUUUAUAUUUAAUGCGCACUGCUAGGUAGUAUUAAUUUUUUUUAAUUUAUUUCUUAACUUCUAUCUUUUUUAUAUUUCUUUAAUUAUAAAUUUUUUAAAAAUUUAUUGUCGGCAUGAUCCGAGUCCAAAACUCCAACAAGUAGGAGCCUCAGACUCCAUCCAAUAUUUUUAUAUGAGACCCCACCAGACAAAGAAUAUAAAUCAUUACUCUACAUUAAUUCUCUUUUUAUUUUUUAUUUUUGUUUCAAUUUUAUCUUUAUUUCAAAAAGAAAAAAAAGAAAUGAAGUUGACCUAAAAUUAAUAUAUAUUUUUAAAAUUUAUCUUUUUUUUUUUACUUUAUAAAUAAAUAAAUAAAUAAAUAAUGGCUAAUUAAUUAAUUAAUUAAUUAGUUAAAAAAAUCUGGAUGGGAGCUCACGAUGGCGCCGCGUGGCCGGGCGCCCACGCGGCGCCCAUCAAAGCGGGCAACUAAUGCAAAUUUUUUCCCCGCCGAAAAAUUUUGGCGCCGGGUCGCGAAGAGCGUUCCCGCCACCUCUGCCCCGCCAAAAUCUCUCCCCUCGUUUUCUCUCUCUUCCUCUCCCUCUCCCUUUAUCCCCUUUCCAUGUCAAAAUAUCACAGAGAUCUCACAGAUCCCAUUCCAUUCCCAUUCCCAUUCCCGUUUCUAUCCUCGGCCAUGGACAUCUCCUCCAUUGCCGCAAAGCUCGGUCUCUCCACCUCCAAACCCCUCAUCCGCAAAGCCGAGGAGCUCCGCCGCCUCUCCGAUGUCCAAUUCGACUCCUCCAUCAUCGGCGUCGUAAGCUCUCUCCUUCCUCUCUCUCUCUCUCUCUCUCCCUCCCUGAUCUAUUCCUUUUUGAUCAAAUUGUUUUGAUCUGAAAUUGGUUGUAUUUGGUUCAGGGAGAGGUGUGCAAGGCCAUCAUUUGUUUGGAGAUCGCGGCCUCGAGGUUGUUUAUCAUGCACAUCAACUGUUUGACAUAUUGUCUUUCAGGAUUUCGGCGGCAUUUAGAGCUGAAUUUUUGGAUUGGGUUUUGUAGAUUUCAGGUGAUAUUUGAUCGACAGAGCGCGAUAAGAUUGAGCGGGAUGUCGGAGAAGGCGUACAUGAGAUCCUUCAAUGCGAUGCAGAACGGUCUUGGAGUCAAGUGGGCUCUCUUCCGUCUUUAGCGUAUUUGUGUUUGUUGAGAAGUUUGUAGUGAACUUAUGUUGAUAUCCUUUGAUGGGUUUAAUUUUGCAGGGCUACUUUGGAUGUUAGAGAACUGGGGAUUCAAUUUGGUUGUGUUAGGUUGAUUCCUUUUGUGCAGAAGGGAUUAUCUUUGUAAGAUUCUUUCUUUGUAAUUCAUGUGUAAGAUUAUGAUGGUAAAUUUAUCUUUGAUUGGAUACAUUCAUAUUGACGUGUGAUCAUCUGAUGUUGGAUUUCAGAUACAAGGACCGGUUCCUAGCCGCAUUGCCGGCUUCUCGUCGUGCUAGCACGGACUUCAAUCGUCCUGUUUUUACUGCUGUUGCUUUCUAUUUAUGUGCAAAAAGGCAUAAGGUAGUUUGAUAAGAUUCACUAUUUGAUUGAUCAAUUUUUUAUUUAUAUAGAAUUUAGAAUGUUUAUGCAAGCAUUUUAAUUCUCUCUUUUUUUUUUUGAUUUCCUUACAGCUUAAGGUGGAUAAGUUUAAGCUAAUAGAGUUAUCUGGUACAUCUGAAACAGAAUUUACUACUGUAAGUAAUGAUAUGUUUGAGUAUUUGCUAUUGUAUUUAUCCCUGUGUUUGCACCAUAUAUAUCAUAAUCCAAAAUUUCAAUUUGUCUUAUGUUUUUAUUUAUUUCUGCUGAUAUUUAUAUAAUAUUUAAUCUUAUUUUCUAUUUCAGGUCUCAACUUCUAUGACUGACCUUUGCUUUGAUGUUUUUGGGGUUUCCAAAGAAAAGAAGAAUCCAAAAUCAAUUAAAGGGCAUAGAGGUAACUUUGUUUUCCUCACAAUGGGUGAUUAUUUGCUCUUAAUUUUUUUUUUGUACAUUACACAUCCCUAUAUAUAGCUUGGCCAGCUUCUACUGGAGUUCUUAUAUCAACUUUUUAAUUCCAGAGCUUUUAGAUUCAUUGCCCUGCAAAAGAAGACGCGACGAUGAUGAAGCAUUUUCUGAUGAUUCCUCUGGAGACGAGAAAAAUGUAUUUACUAUUCUUUGAUCACUAAUUCAUACCAUGUUUCUUUCCUAGAUCAAAAGAAAGCCUAGACAUGACAAUAUAAGAAAGUCCCCCUGAGAUCUGGUGCUGAAAUGAAGUCAUUUUGUUUAAGCUCUUCCUAUUUGUGAAUUUAGUGGCCAUUUAUAGAAUGUUAUUGUUUUUGUAAGCCAUGUUUUGCUACUCAAGACUCUUACUAUGGGUGCAUCAGAUUUCAUAAAGCAUCGACAGUGGUCAUUUCUUUAUGUAAGCAUUUCAUUGUCGCCGCAAAUAAUCUAAAACUUGUGAAUUAUGACCAGAGUUUAGAUGCACAGUAGGUAAAUUCUAAAGCUAAUACUAGCGCGUGGAAGUUCAUAACCUAAGAUAAGUCUACAUAAAGCCACAUAAGCCCUGUCGUUUUGUUCUAUUUAUUUGCUCGUCCUUCGAUCCUUUCUCCUUUGUUUUUCUUCUGAUUGACCAUCUUAUAAUUUAACUAGUUUAAUGCACAUUCAGAUGUCGUGUUACAAGAAGCACAAAAAGAUGCAGAAACAGGCUUAUGAAAAGUGGAAGUCCUCUGUUCUUUCCUCUAACAAUCAAAGCAGGACAGGUAAUAUUUUUUUUCUUACCUUUACCAAUAGCAUGGCUUAUUAUUGUUAUUAUUAUUAUUAUCAGCAGUGUCUGAAUCUUUAACUUAUGAUUAUUAUUUUUUAACAGCUCCUCUCAGGCCAAGAAAGCAAGCCCGACUUAGCUUUACGAAGAAAUCUUCGGAGCUGAUUGCUGUUGAGGACACUGCUUAAGUUACCGAAUUAUGCAGUGCAGUGCCAUAUGAAGCACUUCCUCUGUUCAGAUUUUUGACUAGGAGUCUUCGAUGUUUUGUAAUUAGAUUAGUUUCUAAUUGUCUACAAAAAAGAGGAAGCAUCUGAACAGAUUUUUGAUUUUUGUAAUUAAGCUCUGUUUUAACGAGUGGUCUCUUCUAAUUGUCAAGCUACUGAGAGUCUGAGAUUGUCUUAGUUGAUUGGUGUUUCUGAUCCAAGUUCAUAUAGGAUAUUUGAUUAUUUCUACUUUUGUACCAGAGUUUACUAACUUAUUAUAUCCUGAAAAUUUAUGUACAAAAAAAUUACAAAUUUUGAAAUGUAUUAAUUAGACAUCAAUUAAUCUUAAAAAUUAACGGAAUGAGAAAAAUAUUGAUUUAUAAAUUUAAUGAAGUUUACUUGAGCACGCCUGGUUGGCAGUUUCUGGGGAGGUGAUCUCACCGGUACAAGGAAACGUAUAAAUUGGUGCUCUCCCCUUCGCACAUUUCACUGUUCCCUUUCGUCCCCUUCUCUCUCCCUCUUUUCUCUUCGCCUCGCCUCGUCCCACUCGAUCUUUAAGGAAACCCUCUAGGGUUAGGGUUAGGGUUAGGGUGAGGGUGAGGGUGAGGGUGAGGGUUUUUGAAGGGAGGAGAUCGAGACAUUUGAGGCGAGGGUGGAGGAUGGCGCCCAGGAAGGGAGCGCCAUCCACUCGGGAACUGCAGAAGAUCCUCGACAAGCUCGAUGAGGUCGCGCACUCUCCGAUUCUUGAUGUGUUUGUGUUCAUUAAUUUCUAAGAUCGAAUUCCAAAUUAUAUAUCGGAAUUUGUUUUCCAUAUGCUUGCUUGCCCUUAUGAUCAGAUUGCUAGGUUUUUGUUGGCGAUGGAGGGUUCUUGGAAUUUGAUGUUGUGGUUUAAUUCUCGCUCAAUUUGUUUCCCCUCUAAAGCUCACAACAUAUCUGGUCUCAUUCAAAUGAAUUUUGGGAUUUUCCGGAUCCCGAUCAUUUGAAAACAAACGUAUCUGGUCUCAUUGCUGUGUUGUGAAUCUUGUAAUUAACGAUUUUUAGAAUUUAUUAGCCCAAUGGGGGAAGACCAGUAAAAUAUAGAUAUUGUUGUGUUGUGAACCUUGAGCAUAUAUUUAUUAGCGCGUGUUUGUGCGUGUAUGUGUAUGCAAUGUCAUGUCCAUUUGUGCUUGUGCACGCUUCUGAGCUCGCGAGUGCAUGCAUGCUCUCUCUACGCAUGAACACAUACGCAUGCACACGAAAAUACACAUUAAAGUAGUUUCUAUUCUUACUGCAAAAGGUUAUAUAUUUAUGUUUUGUUAUGAUAUGCCAAGAUAGUGUGAGUGUAGUUUAUAAACUCAAUUGUUCAUGUGCCCAAGACCUAUUCUUUUUUCGGCUUCUUGGUUACAGCUCAAAAAUGAAGAAGCAGACAAAAUUUUUGAGGUUGAACAGAAGUAUGUAGACAUAAGAAGAGCUAUAUACAAGCGGCGGAAUGAGAUCAUCAGAUCUAUUCCUGACUUUUGGUUAACUGCAGUAUGUGCUUAAAACAUGUUCGUGUCGAUGUCUUUGAUAAGGAGAACACUCAUGCGAUUUAUUUCCUGGAUUAUCCCUCUGGACAGUUUCUGAACCAUCCGUUAGUUUGUGAUCUUCUCACUGAUGAUGACCAAAAGGUAUGAAUCCAUUACCGAGCAAUUGCAUGUACAGUUUCAGUCUGACUAUAUCUAUUUCUUUUUUUUCUUUUCUUUGUUUGAUAUUGUACUUUUAGAUCCUAUUAUAUUUCUCUUUUUUUCCUUUUUUUUUAUUUUUUUGCUGAAUUGAUGUGAUGAUGAAUAUUCGAAAUUUUCGUUAUGCUGUAGAUCUUGAAGUACCUGAUUUUGUUUGAUGUGGAUGACUAUAAAGAUAAAAAAUCAGGCUAUUCCUACACUGGUGAGUUUUUCUUUUUAGAUACUCUUUCCCCAUAACUGGUCUAAUUCAACAGAUUCUAUUCCCUAACACUGUUUUCUUGAGUUGGUUUUUGUGAUGAUCAGAAAUUUUCCCCUAACCCAUAUUUUGAAGAUGCAUGCCUGAGAAAAACAUACAUAUUUCACGAUGACGGAAUAGUCACUAUAACUGGUGCAACAAUUAAAUGGAAGGAGGGGAUGGUAGGGGCAAUUUCUCAUAUUCAUUUUUGCGACCCUGGAAUAGACUUACUUGGUUCAAAUUCUUCUAAUUUUUCUUUGCUGCUGUCUGCAGUAUACAGGAAAUGAUGAUAUUCGUGAGAAGAAUGAUUGCAAAAAAGUCUCCUCUCAUGUAUAAAGGUUGAUUUCUGUGCCUGCUGAGUCGUGAAACCAUUUGUAUAAGUAGCUUUUCACAUCAUUCCACUUCCAGACUUCCAGUCUCUAGUUUGUUUGGCUUAUAUACACAUAUUUUGGUAAUAGUCAGUGAAAUGAAUGUACUAGUUUUAGAAUAUGCUCAGUUUAUGGUAUGUUGUAUUUAGCUCUCGUACUUAUCUACUAGUAGGAAAGAGAGUGAUUAUACAAGCUUUUAUCACUUACAAUCUUAUGCAAUAGUAUGCAUUAAUAAUUUCCAAAUCACCACGAGUUAAGCAUUGCUUUUCUGGGCAGCUAGUAUAUUAAGAUUAUAACCAAUAGAUGCAGUCAUUAAUGUGUAUUGUGUAUUAAAAUGCUUGCAUACAAUAUUUCAUUUAGUUAUCUACAUAUUGAAUUGAACUGUUGUACUACUGGUUUGCCAGUAUAAUUUAUUUUUUGUGGUUCACUUCAUCACGCAGCUUCUUUGGCUGGCUUAGUAGAACUCAGCAGCUAAAUGUCUUGGAGUGGAAUGACGAUAAGGUGAGAGUUGUUUGUUCUAAUUUCUCCAUUUCUUGCAGAAACGGUAGUUUCUACAUGAGCCUUCAGGUUUCAUUUUAAUUGAUUUUACGACAAAAUCGGUGAUGUCUCUUCUUCUCGAUCACAUAUUUCACAUGAGCAAUUACUAGUCCUAGUAAAAGUAGUAGAAAUAGGCUGUAUUAGUGUUUUUACCAACCACGAAUAUGCAGGUAGCAGUGAUUGUCAAGGAAAAUUUGUGGCCAAAUCCUUUGAAAUACUAUAAAAUGGUGAGUCUAGUUGCUUGGUUAGCAAUUCUGUGAUGGUUUCCAAUUCAUUUUUCUUCUCCUUCCUUUCUUUUUUUUUGCUUUUGGUUUGUGGCACUCUCCUGUUUCAACUCAUGUCAGGAAGCUGAGGAGGAUGUUGAACGAGAUUAAGAUGAUGCUAAUGUAGUGUUAAAGGACUCCGAUCACUACUUGAUCGGCUAAGUUGAUUCUCGGAAGGAAAUGCUGCUCCCAUGGCGAGGAUUAUUAUGAGCAUGAAGGUGGUUGAGAGGACGUUUGCCAACGACGGGCACUAGGUUUUCCCUUUCUUCUCUUCUCUCGGGUGAUAAUGUCAAUGAAGCCAAAUUUGCUAAUGAUGUUAUCCGUUUGAUUUACUUAUACUUCCCUUCGAACGGGAGGUACGAGCAUAAAUUCUCCGUGCCGUCAUGCCUUCUUUGUUCCUGUUUCUCUGGAACUGCUGUACAGUACAGCCUACUAUUGCAUUUUUGGUCGAUCUUUCAAGGACCAGUGAACAUGUAAUUCCCACUCUAAGAUUUUUGAAAUACACCACUCAACUAUUGGCUUUGGAAUGCUGCCUAGGCAACUAACGAGUUUUUGCUGUCAAAAGCAGGAAAUAAUAACUUGGAGAAUGCCAGACGAGCUCCAUUAGCAUAUCCAUAUGCCCCUGCCCCUGCCCCUGCCAGUGCCAGCUAAGGAAAAUUGUUGAUUGAUGCUGGCGACCAGCAAAAGCUUGAUCUUGAUUGGUUAUUGACUAGUAGAACGGAAGAUGAAGAGAUGGUACUGGUAGGCCACCUAACAACCUGACUAUUCAUACUAGUUUUACAGAGUUCAUAGGCUAAAAAUGAAACCAACAAGAUAAGAAAACCUUAAGGCAUUCAAGUUUGGUCAUUAUUGAAUAAUAUUAGCAAGGUUUUAUAUUUGUACUAUGCCACUAAAAUAAUACCGGUACAAUAUAGCUCCUGUAUGCAUGGCACAGCUCGGCAUCAUCUAUUUUUUGUAGUUAGUAAAUUAUUAUCUCAAUAAGAUAUAAAAAAAUUGAUAAAGAAGUAUAAUAAAUAAUUAGAAUAUAGUGACAGUAAAUAUAUAUAUUACAUCAUAACGUAUCGGCAUUCAUGCAUUUUUAUGAUCAUUAUGCCUUGACACAGCACACCAUACCAUGCUUGCAAGUUGUCAACACGGCCUCUGCCACGGCAUUUAAAUUUUUGGAUAUUAGCCACUAUGUUACCCAAUCGAAAUAAUACAUGAUUAACCUAACUCUGUAGGAAGAUAUAAACCAAUUAAUCUAUAAUUAUGUAAUUGAAACUAAAACGAUACUGCAUUAAGUUUUUAUAACAUAAGUGAAAAACAAUCUGAAUACGAUGAAGACUAAUAUCUUUACAGACUACAGUGUGUCUGAUGAAUAAAUACCGGGUGAACUUUCUAGACGGGUUGAUACGAAGACAAAUCCUCAUCUUCUAUUCAUUGUUUCUUGUCAUGGCGGUUCAGCUUCACCGUUACCGACCAGCUGUUCAAUCAACCAAAAAAAAAGACAUCAGUCCGAAAUACAACUAUAAUGUUAAAAAGGAUGCACUUCAUCUACUUUAGGGAUUUUUAAUACAAAUAUUUCUCAAGUUGUUAUAGAAAAAAUAUAAUAGAAGAGGAAAUGGUAACUGAGGGAUAAGAAAAAUAUAAUAACCAAGCAUAUUCAAUCUUCUUUCACUAGCAAAUCAACAAAGGGAAAGUGCACUAACUUGAAACCCAAGAAGGAAAGCUUGAUAAGAGCAAGAAAAUAUUUCACAGCUCCAAUAAGAUAUUAUGCUAUUGAUAAGGUCACAGGCAUGAUGCUCAAGUCAGUGUGAGAUAUGAUAUUGAGGGAGGAGAGAGCUGGAAAAGUUGUUACAAUGCUUGGCAUCAAAAGUAAAUAAGUUUAAAUUCCAUAUGUAGACCCUUAAUUUACCACAAAGAUAAUAUGAAAGAUAAGUGAUUUGACGAGUUUCCAUACCUCCUGCAACUAAAUGUUCAUAAACAAGAUUCAAUUGCUAGACCAAGACAAAACUAGUAAAAUGAAAACUUAAAUCAUCAAAAGCAUAACUGGUUAUGAUGGGAAAAGCAAAAGUUGGUCAUUAAAGAAGCCAGCAGACAUGAGUUCUCGAAGGUGCAAAGACAACUCAAUUGACAUUAUUAACCGCACAUAUAAUGCAAUUAAAAGCAUACUUAUUGAACAAGAUAAAUACAGGUCAAAGUCAGAGUUGCAAUACCAGAGAGCCAAUCUGCUCGUACGCUUCCAUUACUUUUGGAUCCUCCUCAUCUUCAUAACCAACUUGCAAUAUCCGCGGACCAUUUACAGACCAGAGAGCUCUUCUUCCAGCUUCCUAUGGGAAUAACAAUAAAAAAGGCAUAGCUCAAAUGAAUAGUACAGAUGAAACACAUGAUAUAUGAACUUUUUUUUUUUCUGAAAUAACUAGGGAAAUCAACAAUCAUAAUCCAUUUAUCGGAAAUUCGGAGCUAUCAGCCUAUAACCACACACAAAAAAAAAAAAAAAAAAAUCAACUCAAGUUGACUUGACUAGUAGAAUAAAAAUAAUAUAAUGCUGAAAUAGGAAGUUAGCAAUGUUAACUUCAUAGGGUUUGACCUGCAAGGAUAUCAAGUAAAUAGCUUCCAAUGCUUGUUGGCGAAUUUCUGGGUCGUCAGCUGUUUCCCGCUCAUGAGAAAGUGCAUUAGCAAGCUCAAGUGGCAUUUUCGAUCUAUCUUCUUCAUUGUAGAUCUGCAUUUAGAUAGCCAUAUCAAGAAAUAAGCUGACAACAGACAAAUGGAAAAGAACAGCAGAAAAGGAGAGGAACGGAGAAAAGCUGAUCAUACAUAGGCAUUGCUACUAAUCUAUAGGAGAAAUAAACAUCAUCAGUUGUGCAAAACCAUCCAUUAGCAAGAUUGGAGGACAAUGCUUGUGAUAACACAAAACAGAAACAAAACAGAAGCCUCGUAUGAAGCAAAUGUUGCCCGAAUAUAAAUACAGAAAAACUCAGAUUUCCACAGCAUACUCCACUAAAUAGUCUACUUGGAUCACCUUAUUGCCGGCUACAGGUAGAAGAAGAGCUGGCCAAAGAUACUCUGAUAUCAAAAGCAAAUUCUGUAGUUGAUUAUCAGCUUCAAAGCAACAAUUGCGAAUGGUGCCAGCUACCUAGAAGAUUCACAUAAGUAGCAGAAUUACAAGACAAAAGCACACAAAAAGCCAAAAGUUAAAUGCCCAAGAUAUCAAGAUAAUAAUUAGAAAAGGAAGCUAUAAACUCUCUUAUCAUUUUGAAAUAUCAUAGUACACAUUUAACAGAAAGGAAAAAAGAGAAAAAAAACCAAAGACUUAAUGUUCUUCCACUCUUCCAAGUGGAAUAAAGAAAAGCAUACAACUAACUUGCAAGCAAUUGGACUAUCACCAAGCAAUUCAUUCAUUUCACAGGCAAAAGGCCAAGGUGACUUUCUUUGAUGUAUACAUAUUUACAAAUAUUACAUAACGUAAAUAAAUAUCAUUUAGGUAGAAGAUUUUAUUGAGCUGAAGAAAAAAAUUUAUUACUAUUUGCCAUUCAUUAUGAAUAAAUUUGUAAGAUUGAUCUGUCAACAAAAUAAGUGAUUAUCGAAGCUAACCGUAAUGGUAUAAGUUUAGUAGAAAUGUUACUAUAUAAUGUGCUUACAUGAAAAGUAGGAUCGAAACAGUUUAAAUCGAUAAAAACGAGUGAUAUACAAAUACAUGAGUACUUUGCCAACAAUAUAAAACCUUACAAUUUAACAUUAUACCUCAACAAAAAAAAUGUUUAAUCAAGUUAGGAAACCAGUGAGUAAAUUCUGCAAAACAAAUUAAGUGUAGAUGAUAAUGACUGCAAAUCUACAUUGUUUUACAAGAGGUAUGCAAAGGUUGUAAUGCAUAUAGAUUUCAAUGGUAAAUAGACGAGACCAAAUUAUCUCUGUUCAUGCGGAAGACCACUAAUCUUCAUCAUUCUAACUCAGGGUCACAAAGUUUGUAAUCAUAUGGAUACCGUUGCUAAAUGGAUUAUAUAGAGUCAUCCUUUGCUCAUACCCCUUUCUUUCUCAGUGGAUUUGUGGAAUCAAAUUGAUGGAUGACCUGCUUCAGAAGACCGCGCCUAGGUUCCAAUAGAAUCUUCCUUCCGGCUUCCACCUUUGAGAUGUUUACUAGUAUUGAAGCUACAUGUUCGAAGGUAUCAUCUGCAAGUGAGGUGAGUAACAACUCAUCAACAUCAUCAGAGAUAAACUUGAACUAGCAGUGAAGGAAAGCUGUAAAGCAAGUGAAUAGAAGAAACUGAACCUGCCGAUUCGCGAGAAGAUGACCUACAGAACGAUCUAACAAGCUUCGCAACAUUCAGACCUUCCACCUUAUCAUCUCCAAUCUGAACAGAAUUGAUUACAGAUAGAGUUUAUUUUAGUUCAAUAGAAUUACAUCUAAACGGCAUGGUGUGUGCGAAAGAAACUACUAUAUAUAACUGAUUAUAAUUUGUUCCUGUUUUAGUAAGUAUUUGAGGUAGUGAUUUUGAAAAUUACAAAAAAGAAUGCACAAUAUAAGGGCUAAAAACUGCACAUUUCAUCACACCAAUUACUUACGAAUGACAACUAUUCAACUCAACUUACACACUCCCAAUUCUCUGCUCAUCGUAAACAUAAAAAAUAUAUCCAUGAAAAUGCUUACUCCUACUAUCAUUACUACUUCAACCAUCGCAAACAAUUCUAUCCCACUAAUGCCAAAUAGAAGAAAUAAUACAGGAAUUUAACUCAACAGUGACAAGUGAUCACCCCGACCAUAGCCAAUAUACUAUUGGGUGCUUUUGGUAGAGGAAGGAAUCAAGGAUCGCACCUGGAGGAGGGCGGCGAUGCCGGAUUCGACCUGGGUGAGAUUAGUGAGGAGCAUGACGAGGCCGCGGGCGAGGGCGGGGUGGUCGGGGUGCUUGUAGAGAACAUCAAUGGCGGUGGCGACGGAGCCGAGGGAGACGAGCUUGGCGGCGAGGUCGGCGUCCUGGGAGAGGUUGACGAGGGCCUCGGCGGCUGCGGCGGCGGUCUCCGGCGGGUCGCGGAGGAGGGGGAGGAGGCGGGGGAGGGCGACGUUGGAGUACGCGGUGAGAGAGCGGAGGCCCUCGUCGGAGCCCGUGAGGCCGCGAACGAUGUCCACCGCCGCAUUCUUAACCUAGAAUUGGCGACGAAGAAGGGUUAGAGGCGAGAGAGAGAGAGAGAGAGAGAGAGAGAGAGAGUGGGAACGAGUGGGGAGGAGAAGGGGGGGAGUGGGAACGAGUGGGGAGGAGAAGGGGGUUUACCUGGGGAGAAGGGGAGGAGAGAAACCCUAGGAGCUCUUCGAGCUCGUUCGCCAUGAGAACGAUGAUGAGGCAGCGCAGCGAGAGCGGAGUGUCGAAGGAAGAGACGAAGGUGGCUCGGGAGGCUGAAUACAGGACGUAGUAAUAAUUGUUGGAUUUUGUGGUCCGAGUGGAUCCAAUUUGGGCCUAGUUUAUUUAGACCCUUUUUUUUGAAAAAUAAUUUUUUAAAAAUAUUGUUUUUUUAUUUUUUUAUUUUUUAAAAAAUUGAAAAAUAAAACUAAGACAUUUUUAUGAAAUCUAAAAAUAACUUUUCUAGGAGCACCUCAUUUCUUGAGAACCGAAAUGUAGAAAAAUAUAUUUUCAACCAGUAAAUUAUUCUAGUACAUUCUUGGAGAAACCAGCACACGCCCUUAAUAAGGUUCAUUAUAUGCUAAUGAACAUAAUAAUUUCAUGGAUGUGCUCAACCUUCUAUAGUAUAUGUGCUCGACCAUCGACGAGUGUACUAGGACAGAGCGGUUACCGAAACAGAACCAUUUUGUAAAUCACUGUAUGAAUGUUAAGACAUGCUAUACAAGCAGCUUUGCCUUCGCAAGCUAACUACCAACACCAGCAGCGCCAAAAUAAAUAUGGUAGUAAAGAUAAUUCCACAUACACAACCAUCAACUACUACUUGUAUCUGGACAAACUACAUCAGUUGGCAACACUAUCCAAAUGACAAACAAACAACUCCGCAUCUGUGUAGGACUAAAGGAGAAGAAAGAAAAGGGGUAGCACUUUUGUUGGUCUUUCAAAGGUCACAGUUACCUCCCUCUGCGGGAAUUUAGAUUGAGUCCUAUAGCUGGUUUCUCCUCCUUGUAAGGUUGAGUGGACGCAUCAGUAAUGCUCGGUAGUCUCUGAACACUCCCCUUGCCUCUUCUGGCGUUAGGACCUAUUUCCUCUAUCAUGUACUUCCACCCGUCUAUGGGCCGCCUUCGACUAAAUAUGUGCGUCCUGAUAAAGCUAGCAAUCUGCUUUUGCAAUUCAAAAACACCAAUUAGAUAUGACGGGAACUGUCGAAGUAUCAAUGAAAUAAUUAUGUUUUGUAGAUUAGGUUGAGGUGAAGAACAUGUAUAAACCAUAUAUAGAAAGGAAAAGAGAGGUGAUUGAAUUUGGUUGGAGGAUUUUGGGUUUUAAGGGGGUGUUUAAAGUGUGGUUGCACCUGGAAUUUACUGAAAGCAAUUCGGCGCUCAAAUUCUUGGAGAAGAAUGUCCUCUUCUCUUUGUGUUAUUUCCCAUAUGUUACCAUCUUGAUUCUUGGAUGUUGUCUCCCAUCCGUCGGGAUUGGUUUUGAACUCCGUCAUGUUAGGAAUCUUUGAAUCACCCAGUUCCAUGUUGCCCGAGUCAAAGAUUCUGCAUUUAUAAAUUACAAGGCUUAAAAUAUAUCAGCUCGCAAUAGAAAAAUUGAUGAAAAACACCUAAUUGAUAUCAGGCCUAGCAACAACAAUCUUGCAGCUUAUUUUUUGCGGAAGGUCACCUCUAGGUGCACCCCUGCACUGCUUCACCGAGAGUUUGGAACUGGUACCGCCCCUUUUCCUCACGUGUAAUAAUAUCAUAUAAACAUAACAUUUUUUCCUUUAGAGUUGGGUUUAGGGUUGCUCUUAUGCAUUUCUCUGCCUUGUUCUUCAAGAACUGUCCCUAUUUGUUUUCAUUUCCUAAUUGAUUCGAGCUUAUAGACUGUCCAACAUCAUAAACGUCCCAACACUCUCAUAAAGAGUUUAUUCGUCAUCCAGCUUGAGCUAAUUUCACCUUCUUUAGAACUCCACAAGCAACAGCAAGGCCUGGUAUUCUCACGCCGUCCUUGUAACGAGUUGAGAUGAUUUAAGAAAUCUCAUAAGGAUUACGAAUCACAAUGCAUUAUUUCAUUCUAGUUAAUAAACUUACUACAUAGAUGUACUCCAUCAGACAACUGCAGAACAAGCAUACUCCAUGUUCAGCAUUAUCCAAUGAGGAAUACCCAUUCUACGUAAAGCUGGUUAUAUUUGACAUUAAAACAGAGAAUUCAGAGCAUCUGUGCUACAACUUAACAGAUCAUUUCAAUCUGCAACUUCAGUUAAGUAAAUACUAUUUUCAUGAAACAUACUAUCCAGCAACUAAUGUUUUCUAAUCUUCUUCUUCCAGAGGAAAUAAUCUUAGAAGCAUAAUAAGGAUUCACAAGUUUUAGGAGCAUCCGCUCAUGUGUUCUGCGAAAACCUAGCAAUCUCAAUCUCAAUAUAUAUAUUGGCACAAUGUGAGCUCAGCAAGACAUUAGAUUUGAGCAACUUAUUUCUACGUAAAUCAAACUUUUACCCGGGUGAAGUUCUACUCACUGGUGAGGCUAGUGUAAGCAUGAUUACUAACAUGAAUCAAUCAUCUAAACAAUGGAUUGUAAACAGAAAACGACUGUACUGCGCUAGUCUACAUGACAUACUCUAUGUUCCUUUUCGCAAGCAUUACCAAAUAUAGAGCUGCUACAUACAUACAAUGAUAUGGCACUUGUAAAUCAUUUGCAAAAACUAAAUAUGAAUAAUCGCAGCAUCCACCUUCAAAUAUCAAGCCAAUUUUCUAGCUAAAACAACCAAGCAAUAUUGGGAAUAAUUAUCAUAAAGGAAAGAUACGGCGAUUACUCCAUGGAAGGUAAACAUACUCUGAGCAGGAGUCGAGAAGGCGAUCGAUGUCGUCCCCCGCACCGGAGCCUCCGAGCUUGGCCUCCUCCAUCUUCUCAAUCUCCUUCAUCCAGAGCCCCGCGUGGAUCCUCUGCUUCCGGACGCGGUAAUCGUCCGCCGCAGCGCUCUUGGCGCCGCUACCCGCCGCAUCCGCCACCGCCGGAGAAUGAUCGGCGCUCUGAUCGGUCCCCUGCUGUAGUUUCCUCGCGGCCCUCCGCUCGUUCCAGCGCUCGUCCAUCUCCGCCACGAAGGCCUUGGUGUCGGCGUCCAUGUCGGCGGGGGCGGCGGCGGCGGCGGCGUCGGAAGACUCCCAUGGCGCGCGGUCCCUGGACGAGGGGUCCUCCGGGAGCCACGCCAUCUCCCACGCAUCGUUCCACUCGUCGUCCCCGGUGGCAGAGAAGGAGGAGGAGGAGGAGGAGGAAGGAGAUCGAAUGGAGUGAGCCCUUCGAAAGAGAAGUAGUACGUGCCCUAGGGUUUCCGUGCGAUUGUACGAGGGGAUUAUAGAGAUCGAAGGGAAGGAGGAAGAGGAGAGGAGGAGGCGUUUGAGGGAGCGCAUGGUGUGUGUUCGACGAAAUGUGUGAGAGGAGACCGCGGUUACGGCCUUUUUUCUGAUUCGUCGUGUUGGGAUAUUCAGAGAGAGUACUCCUGAAAUUGGCGCGCUUUGGGCCGGUCCACCAAGGGUCAAAGCCCGAUCCAUUUAAGCUCUAUACGAGCUUGCGACCUGAAACCGUUUAAGCCGCAAAGUUUGGGCCCAACCGAGCGAGCCUACACAUGAUCCUAUUGGGCUUUUUUAGAGAAAUUGUUCGCUGCAACGGGUGUGUGAUUACAUCUCAUACACCGGACUAUUCAAAUCUAAUUUUAUAAUCAAAAUCUAACUUAUUUUAUAUGUUACGUAGCAUUUUAAGUUACUGUACAUUGGAAAAUAUAAAUUUUUAUUUUUAAAUAUUCUAUCUAUAUGAUUAGACUUUUAUUUGUUAAUAUAUCUGUGUAUUAAAGUACGAAUACAUGCAGGACGACUAAUUCUCAUCCUAAUACGAAUCCAUACUAGUCCAAUAACCGUGUAAAUGGGCCGGCCUACUUAGACAACCUAAGCACCCAUCCACUUCUAGGGUUUUGUCGCAGUAUAAAAGUGCCUCUCCCAUUGCGCGUUGCGUCUUCGACGAUCUCCAUUUCUCCUCUCCAAACGCGAGAGCGGCGAGGGGGAAGAGCACCAGCCAUGGUUCACGUCAGUUUCUACCGCAAUUGUAAGCCCUAAUUUCCUCCUCUCUACUCUUCCGAUCUCGGAUCGCUCUGUGUACUUCUACUUCGUUGUUCGAUCGAUCGAUCGAUCGAUCUCUCUCGUUAUAGUAGUAGUACUCGAUUUCCGAUCGAUCGGGGAUCUUAUCCUUGUUUGGAAACCCUAGCUCACGAUACGAAGUAAUUUGCAGAUGGGAAGACGUUCAAGAAGCCACGCCGCCCCUACGAGAAGGAGCGGCUCGAUGCCGAGCUCAAGCUGGUGGGGGAGUACGGGCUCCGAUGCAAGAGGGAGCUGUGGAGAGUUCAGUACGCUUUGAGCCGGAUCCGGAACGCGGCGAGGGAGCUCCUCACUCUGGAUGAGAAGAACCCUCGCCGGAUCUUCGAGGGAGAGGCUCUUCUUCGCCGGAUGAAUCGAUACGGCCUGCUUGGCGAGAAUCAGAACAAGCUCGAUUACGUCCUCGCCCUUACGGUCGAGAACUUCCUCGAGCGGCGGCUUCAGACCAUCGUCUUCAAGACCGGGAUGGCCAAGUCCAUCCACCAUGCCAGGGUCCUAAUCAGGCAACGCCACAUCAGGUAUUACACUGUGUUUUUUCCUAAUACUUUGCCCUUACUUUGUUAAAUUUUGUGCUGCUUAUACUGUAACGUUCGAGAUAUAGCUUAUAACACUAGAAAGAGCAAAUGAAUAGAACUUAUAGUGAAUUAUUGGGCUGUUUUGUUGUUUAUAGCAUUGAAGUGUUCAUUUGAUUGUAAUAGGUGUGUCUUAUUUGUAUAGGUUGGUUUUUGGGCCUUUUGAUUUGAAGCUUUGCUUAAUUAACUUGUAUACCAAUUUGUAUUUGGCGAGUUAUCAGGCUCUGCCCUGGCCCUUGAGACAAAGUUCGGUAGAACUUUUGUCAGUUGCAUCUUGUCGGAAGUGUUCUAUUAUUGACAUUGUUAACAUAAAAGUUUCACGUAUUGGAUCCCUGUUUUCUCAAUGCAGAGAUGUUUUCGCACCCGUGAUGCUAAAUAAGAAUGAUUGUAAAUACUUAUAUUAUGACUUCACCCUGUUAACUGCCUACUUGGCCUUAUUAAGUGUAUUAUUUAAGAGCCAAGUCCUAUUGUACUGAUGUAAGCUGGUACUGUUAUAGGAAAGAUAUCAACCUCACAUGUUCUGCUCUAAGAUGCUUUUGUGCUUAUAUGCAUGCAAAAUCUUCUAACCUCUUGGAUUUUUUAUAGUAUCUAUGGCUUCUAUCUGAUUUUCAGUUAAUAUUUUAGAUUAUAUUUCUUUUUGUCUAAACUUUUACUGUACUGUAUAUGUGAGAUGAUGGCGGCCCUCAAAUCUCAAAUCUUAUGAUAAUGCUGUGGAAGUUAACUUCAAUAUAUCAUAAUGCUUACAUUUCUAUUGAGAAGUGUUUCAUUUAUGCUCCUUUUCCUGGCACUAUGAGGAAUAAAAUUAAAUGAACCAUGGAGGUCAGAAGACUAAUGACAUCAAAUCUAAAGGCCUUUUAUGUUCUGAGUGCCUAAUUUCACGUCUUGUGUUUCAAUGUUCUAAUUUGUAUUUUUUUAUUUGUAUAUUUGGUAAGUUCUUUCUAAAAGUAGAUCUUCUUUCUAUUUAAUCUUUUGAUAUUGACAACACUUUUUGUAUAAUUGUAGGUGGGGUUCUGUGUGUCAAUGUUUUCUUUCUAGUCUUUUUUGUUUGUUUAUUUGGUAAUUUUUUGCUAGAAGUAGGUGUUUUUCUAUUGAUCUUCUGAUAUGCAACUAUCUUUGAUAACUUGGGGUUUACUUUGAAAUUGGUGAUAUAUUUCUGUUAUUUGAGUCUAUAUAGUUCGGCAGUGGGUAGUCUUACUUGACUAUAAACUAAAAUAAGCCAAUUUGUAUCAAUUUUCAUUGCUUUCAGACGAGAUGCUAUAAAUAAUUAGUAGGCCUAUCAUUUCUUGCAAGACAUUUGGAGGCUGCUCAAUGAUCUAAUGCUACGUAAGUUCAAAUUGGAGUUGAUCUAUUUAAUAAUACCUUCCAUUGUUACUUUCUCACACAUUGUCUUCUCAAGCACAUAGAUGCUGAAGUUUGACUAUAUCAUGAUAUAUAUUAUUAGAUUGGGUUAAUUUCUUCAAUGCCCUUCUAACAGGGUGUAGAUUCCAUUCCAAUGAUAUCUAUAGGACCCUACAAUAUAUUUCCAGAUUGCUAUUGUUGUCAUAGGGCUCUCACUGGCAGUUUCAUCUUUUGUCUUCAAGCCAGUAUGGCCCCAGAAAGCAUAAAAAAGAUUCAUUUAAAUAGGAUGUCUGAGUCAAUCCGUAUUUGGCAUAUUGGUACCCAAAAGUGUGUCCUAUAUAUCUCAAAUGUCAUGAUUGUUUCAUACUAGUAUACAAAAAGUGAUGCACAAUUAUCUCAAAUGACAUGAAAUGAAAAUGAGUGUUUCGCAUAUAAUCUUAAACAGCACGAUCCUCUAUUAAUAAUGUUUGCAUUUGUCUUCCUUUAGCUGACUUAGAUGAAAUUGCUCUAAUCAUUUUCUGUUAAAACUAUAGAAACUGAAGCAGCCUCUGAUCCUAAAUGGGGAACAAAGGUUCAUUCAACCAUUAUCGGUUAUAGAGUUUGAACAAUUUUUUGCCAGCUUACUGGUAGUCCCACGCUCCCAACCAUUUGUCUGGAAGAGUCCAUUAUCGGUUAUAGAGUUUGAACAAUUUUUUGCCAGCUUUCUGUAGUCCCACGCUCCCAACCAUUUGUCUGGAAGAGUCCAUUAUUGGUUUUAGAGUUUGAACAAAUUUUUGCCACUUACUGGUAGUCCCACACUCCCAACCAUUUGUCUGGAAGAGCUUUUUUAUUUAUGCUUGUGAACUAGCAACUGUAUUUGAGCAUCUCUACUAAUGCCUUAUUAGAUUCCUUACUGCAAUUUCUAUUCCAUUUAGUUUUAUUUUUCCCGUUGCCUUUUCUGUUAGUGCCACACUUUGAUUUACUUGCCAACUCAAAGAUGAGCUACUUGUAUACGGCUCCUAAGUUCUGUUUCUACCUUUUUUUUAUUUAAAUUUCAUUUUGUUGAAAUUACUCAUGAAACUCUUUUUGCAGAGUUGGGCGGCAGUUGGUUAACAUUCCCUCAUUCAUGGUGAGGGUAGAUUCUGAGAAGCACAUCGACUUCUCCCUCACGAGUCCGUUUGGCGGAGGUCGCCCUGGAAGAGUGAAGAGAAAGAACAUGAAGAAUGCGGCAAAGAAGGCAGCUGGCGGUGACGGUGAUGAGGAGGAUGAAGAAUGAGCAAAUCAUGCCUUAGAAGGUUCUGCUGUGUCUUUUUUGCCUUGUAAGACUUAAAUUUGCUAGCUAAGAAUGUGGUAUGUUAUCCUCCCAAAUCUAUAAGAGUCAUUUCACAUUGCGCUUACUGGAGCUAUAUAAGUGAGGCAGGGUUUUUUUGUUUUAUUACUAUAUAAAAUAUGACUGUAUAUGGAGACUGAUUUCUAUGCCUUUUUUUAGAUGCUGGACUUUUGUAAUCUUGUGCUGUGUUGGCCUUCACAUUCUAUCUAUUGAUUGGUGAAUCAGGCGAACUUAUUGACGAGCAUAUCUUGAGAAAACUGUUUGUUGAAUUAAUAAUGAUACUGUGGAUGCGACGUUUGGGUGGUGAAAGGAGCUUUUCUGCAGAAGCUCUCUUGUUUGUGUGGGAGCGAAGGUUUAUCGAAUACUUUUGGAAGUGCGAACGUUGAUCCUGAUGUCGGGUACAAUACGUGCUAGGGGCUUACUUGUUGUCAAGCAGUUUCUAUCUGAUCUAAAAUUGUUCGUCUCUCUCGAGCACACGAGACUCGAUCUGUGCACUCCGGUCUCCGUGCAGUUCCAGUUUCUGCAUCUGCUGUUGCCUCUGCUCCACCUGAUUCAUUUUUGAGAAUCAACCAUUUUCAUUUUCAUUUUCAUUAUCCACUAUCCACUAUGACCAUUCAACUCGCUACAGCUCGGAUUUUGAUGAAAAUUCAUGGUAUGGUUCCACGUAUGUUUUGUAACUUGGACAAAGCUCUCCUGGAUAAGCUCCACCAUCCACCUUUGGAUUUCGAUAACAAAAUUGCCAAAUUGUUGGACGGUGGAUCUCACACCCCCGCGUCCGAGACACUUGGGGGGUAGCCUAUCCGUCAGGAUAGCAUCAAGUGGUCCAGAGUGUGAGGACCAUCUUAUCAGGGUGGGCACCAACCAAACCAACAGGAUCGUAGAUCCGCUUUAAUUAUCGUGCUCCCCAGAUGCUGACGUGCCUAGUACUACCUCACGUAACUCACCGCCCGCUGGCCGUCGGAUCGCCUGAUCUGAUUGUGAUGUAAAUACACGCAGGGGCCGACAUACAGCAAAAUGAUUGCUCCCUCUGUCUUGCUCCAAGAACGGCGUAUGAUCAAAAUAAAUUAUUCAGUAAUAAUUUAUACAAUACUAUAAGAUUAUUUCAUUGCUGGUUUAUUUAGUCUCUUGUGAGGUUGGACAAAUAUGAUAAACUAUAAUCAGUCGUCGAUGUUUUAUUCGUACUCACCUAUCAUUGCUGCGCAUUCUCUCUAAGUAAUCAAAAGCUGUUCCAUGUUGAUCGAUAUAUUAAUGCAUUCAAACAAGUCCUUAAAAGGGCAUUUGGUUCGACGCAUUUAAUUAUAUAGAAAAUUAAAGAAUGAGAGAAUAGUGACUUGGAGGCGUCGAGGAUCAUAAAGAUCCUAAUUGGAUGCCUAAUCCAAUGUUCUGCGACACCACGCUUUCAAGUAAUUAUUAUUGAUUCUCUGCCAAAAACACUCUCUUAUUUUUAUUCUAUGAAAUCAGUACCGGAUGUCAAAUGAGUGCUCAAACUAUUUCUCACAACACGAAGAUCGUGGAGAGUUCGUCUCCUCUUUUUAUGAAUAUUUAAGGUCUGGGAAUGAGUUAAGCGUGUUCCGUUUCUUGCCGACUGAGUCGCUUUUUCCUUUUUUCAGGUUUAUCUUCGUAUUAUAUAAACCAUUGAUCACUUCUUAAAAUCUGAGAUGUUCCUGCUUUUUUUGAGAUAAAGGGAUUAUGAGUGUUUUACUUCGAGACAAAAAGUUUGACCAUAUAUAAUAUAGUGGCAACUCGAUCUCCUGCUUAGAGAAAAGUGCUUAUCCAUUUUUUAGAUUAAUUGGUCCUUGUUAAUUUCGAAUACUAGUCCUCUGAAUUAUAUUGUUAAAUCGAUCUUUUAAUAAAACUCUAAGUAGGUGCAACUUUUCAAUCUUUCUUGUUGGAAGAAUAAAAAAGAAAAAAAAAAUCUUAAUUGGUACAUUCUAAUAGAUAGAUUUCUGAGUAAGUUGGUAUUUGAAAUGAGAGUUUUUUGUACAAUGUACAACAUACUGUUUCAUUACAGCUUUUGACAGUUUUUCAUUGAAAUCGAAAGUAGAAAUUUCGAAUAGAAACCUUAGCUUGUUUGCGAGUCAAUGUCUACCCAUUUUGGCUUUUUGUUUAAUAGUUCAAAUGUUUUUUUUUUUUUUUUUGGAGAGAAAAAUGUAUCAUGUUACCCGCUUCGUUUGUUCUUUUUAGAAAUAAACUUAGUCAGAAUAUGAAUCAACUAGAAUUUAAACUUAAAACUUCGAGUACCAAUCACCACGCCCUUUGCCACUUAAUAGUUCAAAUGUUUAGAUUUGUUUUUGUAUGGUGAAAUUUGUUCAAAUUAGAUAAGCCAGCCUCUGGACAUAAAUUAUUAUUUUUAGAAAUAGAAGGUUGAUGCGACGUGGUAUGUGAAUAAGACAAUGAAGUGUAUAGAUCAUAAACCAACAAUUAGUAACGCCACCAAAUUGUUUCAGCCUAAUUAGCUAGUAGUGGUUGAUUGUCAUGGACAAAACAACCUAAGCCAUGCUAUAAAAAUGUACGAGGAAACUAGAGAAUCGACCUGCUGAAAAAGUACUCAGCGGCCUAGAUAAUACACAUUAAUUAUAUUUUACGCUAGUACACUUAAAACCAUAUUUAUAUAGUCAUUCUCCUAAACAAGCCCCUCGAACAUGGUAGCUUAUAAGCUAGUAGCCUAGCACUGGAAAAAAGAAAGAAAACAAACAAGCAGCUAUAACUUAAAACAUUAUUAAACUCGACUUUUUAGGAUCUAAGAAGGCUCCGAAUGAUCUCCGCUUGCGGGCUGUUGUCGUCCAUCGUCGCCAUUAGGCCAGAAAGGCGGUCGCUGAGGUCGUCCACCUCGCGGUGCAAGCUCUUUAUGUAGCUGCAUGUCUCCUUUAGUAGCUUCGAAGCCGAUGCCUAUUUUCAUAGCAAAGUUUAUAUAAGAACAAAAUAUGAUCGAUAUAAUUAGUACGUCAGCCAUUUGUAGUUCCACAGUCUGAAUUAGUUCAUAUUUAUUAUUUUUUUUAAAAAAAAAGAGUAUAGUUUGAUCUUUGAGAGAAGUAUGUGAUUAUGUUGAAAGUUUUUGACGAAUCAAAAGAAGGAAAAUUAAGAAUGCAAAGAACAAUAACAACAACGACAAAGAUAGAGAGGCCGCUUACCCUGUCAAUGUUCCUACGACGGGACUCGGGGAGAAGCGACUGGAGCUUCGAGAUGAGCUCAUUGAUCUCGUCGUCGGUGAUCCUGCUCCUCCCGCGGCUCGACAUCACGAUCUCUACGUAAAACUCAACAAGCUAGUACUCCUCUCUCUCUCUCUCUCUCUCUCUCUCUCUCUGCUACUAAAGUACAAUAGGGAGAUAAGGAGGGAAAAAGGUGAGAGGGAUUGAAAGGGAGAGGGGGAUUUUAUAUAUAAAAACUUAUAGAGAGAAAGAGAGAAGCAGAGAGUAGCAAGAGAGGUGUAGCAUGGGAAGGGCUCUAAUGAGGCAAAGUCCCAAGGAAUGUGUAUAUUGAGAGGGUGGUGGCCCAUUCAUGUAACAUGCCCCCCUAUUGACACUUUAGUGGGCCCAUCUUGUUCAUGUGGGCCAUGGGCUUGUUGAGGCGCAAGUGCCCCACCCUUCACAUGCUAAAUUGUCCCUCUUGUUUUUUAAGGAACUAGGGGGGGAAGUAGUUACCCUUAACAAAGUAGCUUGUGUGGCUAUUGUUCUUCCCUACUCUUCAAUUGUACAUAGAAGUCUAGAAGAUGCCUUGUGUUUCUUGCUAUUUAGUAUGCGUGGGGCUUUGUUUGUCCUUGAUAUGGUCUUGUCAUUGCAAAGCUAGUCUUUUCUCGGCGGACGUUAUGUUGUAAGUUGUUCAACAAGUUUUAAAAGUACAAUCGAUAAAAUAAAUUUUACAUACAGUCUGAAAAGUUAAACUAUUAUCUUUAAAACAAAGAACUUCUAAAGAUAUCUAUAAUAUUACUCCUUCCUAGCUAAUAAAGUUUUUUUUUUUUUCUUUAACCUUUGGUUUAUCUAUAAAGGAUGAGUACCAAUAGUCCCUUUUUUUUUUUAUCUUUAAAACAAGUAAGGUAUAUAAUCCCUGGAGAUGGCCCAUGGAUCACGCGCACUCGCCCCCUAUACCGCAACACAAGGUGGCCCAUGGACCGGCUCGCGAUCCAUGACCGGUCGACGACCUGAGUCUCCGGCAGUACCAAGUAGGCGCGGCGCGUUGGCCAUGUGGAGGCCCUAGGGGGCAUCCACGUGAUGCGGUGGCCCACGAUGGCAACAGGCUUAUAAUCGGUGGCCCACAGGCCCACAGGCCCAGAGGCCCACAGGCCCACCACUGAAAUUAAUACUUGGCUUGAGAUCAAUGUAUCUGAGCAAUUAAUUUGUGGAGGUUGAGGUGGGACUUAUUUGAGAGGAGGUGGUUUAAUGGCUGUGUAAGUGGGGUGGAGUUAUUACCCCUCCCUAUUGCCAUAUAGUAGGCCCCAACUAGAAUUUGCGGACUACUCGUCAAGAAAGACCUACUGGGACUUAAAAGUAUGUCCUUUCAACAAAGAGUGUUACUAGAGAUACUUUUAGAAACCGCUAAUAUACCAGCAGUUACAUUUUCACAUAUCCGUUUUGAAAGAAUAAAAUUUUAAUGGAGAGCUCACAAAAAAGAUAGGUGUGAUUGGUGUGAGUUGUUAGAUUAUACUCAAGCUGUAUUAAGAUUCGUACAGAGAUUGCAAGCUGAUGCGAAGAUUUAAUACACCCCGUUCGCCAUGAGCACCCAAAGCAUUGCCGUUAACAGAGGGUUGGCUCAUAUAAUUAAGGAGCUAAUUGCAUGGUAGUUUAAUUAAAUAAUUUACUAUACAUUUGUCUCAUUGGAAUUAUUUUACAUAGGAUUACUUGAAAAGGGUGGUAGGUUAUUCUCUAUUAUAGUGGCUAUGAGAUAGACAUAUGAAGAAAGGGGGACAUCGCAUUAAAGGCCUCUUGAGGCAGGAGAUAAAAGCAGAGGUUUUAAUUUCCACCUGAUCAUAUAUAGUAUAUAUUCAUCACCUGAAAACCUUACUACUACUAUUCAAGAAUUCACAUGCUUGAGUUUCUGCUUCCAAAAGCUUCUUAUAAGGCAAUUGUGAACUGACACGCAUUUAAUGUGUGUCUGGGAGAGAGAGAGAGAGAGAGAGAGAGAGAGAGUGUACGUACCCAGUAUCCUGUAAAAAAAGAGAGUACUUGAGGAGGGAUCCAGCUUAAUUAUUUAGACUUUGUUUGGUUGGAGUAUAAAUAAAAACUAAUUAUUAUAAAAAUAGAUAUAAGUAUGGAGAUAAAAAAAUAGCAUUUGAAUAAAAAUUGGGUUGAUUUCGGGGAUAAAAAAAUAGCGUUUGGAUAGAUAAUAUAGAAUAAGAAAAAUAGUGGAUAGUUAUAUAUAGAAAAUAAAGGUAUUGGUGGGAUAGUUAUACCAGCUUAUUUCAGGUAUCCGAGAACUACUAUUCUCGAACCCUUAUUCCUAAUCCAAAUAGUGCCUUAGAGCAUCUCGUGUCGAGGUUAAAAUGGUUACCUGUUGUGUAAAAAUGUUGACAGCUCAGUAGUGAUCGACCUUUCGAGCAUGCAAAGCAACACAGCAUAAAAAUAAAUAAAUUGUGUUACUAUAAAUUAUACGGAUAAUAUAUACAUAAAGUUUAUACAAAUGAAUCAUGAGAAUGUUGUGAAGGGACCAGAAGAUUUCUGGUGUUUAUACCACAAAAAUACCAUGCAUGUACAUUAAUUAGCUGGUGCUUCAUCUAUAUAUAAACGCCAAAACAAAAAAGAUCUCGUAGUAAUUAAAUUUCUUACAAAAUAAUUUUAGUGUUUAUUGAUGGAGUAGAUUGUUAACACAUUAUAUUCUCGUAUGAUGCACUUAAUUGACUUGACAUAGUAUUUAGAUUACCGAGACGUGCGAAUAAAUAUGAAUAUAAAAUUAAAACGAACUAUAGAACCGCUACGAAUGUAGGUACACAGCAUAAAUUAACUAUGCAAAUGAUUAGGACGUCAUUAUAAUAAGAGUGGCAGGACGACGACGACGACGACGACGACGACGACAAUAAUAACAACAAUAAUGAAGAUUUUUUGUUAAGAGUGUUAUGUGUAGCUGUGGAUCAGUAGCACAGUAGUAAAUAAUGGGGCAAAUAUGGAGAGGGCAUGCAUUGUGAGUUUGUGUACCUCAUCUGAGGCGAUGCUACGUUUCGAGAGUAACCUCGCAUGACCUGCCCCCCAACUUGGCCUAAGCCACACGUGGCACUGUCCCUCCCACGUUAAACCCCUAUUAGAUUUUUUUUUUUUUUUUUUUUUUACGUUUUUCUUUUUAAAAUAAAGUUAAUAAAUUUUUUUUUUACUAGGUGCAGAUCAUGAUCAUCAUGCUCAUUAAAUUUGGUUAUAAACGUUUCUCCAACAAUGACCAUAUUAGAAGUCGGGUUUAUUCUAUUCCGAAUUUAUCAACUCACUCAAAAAUUUCUUUUUUUUUUUUUCACCUUUUUCUGAAAGGUAGUACUAAUAAUUUUAUAUUUAUUGGGCUUGGAUCAUGUUCAUUAAAUUUACUCAUAAAUAAUUAUUGAGCAGUAACUAUUUUACUCAGUUAUGAUACCAUAACACCAGCUUCGAGUUUCUUUUGCAUAAAAUGCAUUGGUUGGCCCUGCACUUCCUGAAUGUUACACCUUAGUCCCUAUCACUUAAAAAAGUUCUCAAACUUCUCACAUAAGAAUUACAAUUUUUAUUAUAAAUUAACGUUUAAUCUUAAGUAAACCUAGACUAGCUAGCUUUUAUAGGUGAAGGUGUGAGACCAUCAUUUUGCAGUAGAAAUUAGAUGUUGGUUAUUUAUUAUUGACUAAAAUAGGUCUAAUUUUCUGACCCGGGACAAUAAGUUCGAAAGACUAAUUAAUAAGUUAAAUUGGGUGAGCCUAAUCAGUUGGGUGGGGCUGUGGUCCAAAAGACCUAAUGGUAAGAUGACCAACAAUAGACCUAAUGUCCAGAUGAAUUGAGUCAUCAGGUCGAAACCCAUGAGCAUUAUGGUUGAGCUCUUAAGUGCAAUUGGUGCGUCCUUUCUAUUAGCAUAUAUUUUUGAGAUAAUUGGUUAGUAUUUACGAUCCCAAGUGUUAUCAGAGUCAGCAACGCCGAUUCGAUUUUCACAUGCUACAUUAGCAGUGCAGGUACUGGGAGGGAGAUUGUUGGCUAUUUAUUUUAAGGUUAAAAUAAGUAAAACUUUCUGCCAUGUGAUAAUAGGCCCGGCCGGGAGACUAAUAAGUUGAGUUGAAUGAGUUUAAUUAGUUGAGUGGGGCUGUGGUUCAUAAAAGAUCUAACGGCAAGAGGCCUAACAAUAGACCUAACGUCCAUGUGGAUUGAGCCUUUAAGAGCGAUGGAUGCGUCUUUCUAUCGGCAUGUACGUUUGUGAUAGUUGGUUAUCUAUGUUUGACUCUUUUUUUUUCAUACGAAACUAAAUUAAACACUUUUUAAAAGCAACAGAUUAUCUCUAGUGUAAGUAAUAAAAAGUUUAAUACUGGAGGUAUUUAAUAUAAGUAUUAAAAAUAUCGUUCUGUGACAAUGUAAGUUUUGAAAAAUAAUUAUUUUAUAUAAUUUAAUACGACAUUAGAACAAAAAAUUUUAAAUUCGAGUUCUGAGGUUCAGACCAAGUUGUCUAGGCCACAAUGUUGGUGGGCCCAAAUUGCUCCUUGGUGGUGGGCCCGACAUCGGCCCAAAACUGUUAAAGGGUUUCCAACUGAAUCUGGCGGUGAGUUAGAUGACUGGUUAAGUCCUCGUGUCUCACGCCGGAAACUCGUGCAUGUAUGACAAUGACACACAACUGUUCUCAUUAUAGCAACUUAAUAAAUGUCCAGGUACAAUGUUUUAAAGAUAAUAUAAUAUUAAUAUUAAUUUAUAUAUAUAUAUAUAUAUAUAUAUAUAUUUGGCCAAUUUGUAAAAAAAAAUUCACAAAUUUUGAGUUUUCGUAAAAUUAGAUCGUCUUUUUCGAUUUUGCAGUUUCGGUCUGAACUUUUAGCAAACUGAUUAAAAUACCCUUAUAUCUUUUUCUCUUCUCUUUUUUUUUUUUUUUUUCUCCCCCGCGCACCUCCUGCCCUUUACGCCCUUGCCUACCAUUUUCUUUUCUCUCUUACUCUUCUCCACCGCCUCCGCAGCUUUUUUCCUAGCGAAAAGAAAAGAACGUGAGAAAAAAAAAAAAGAGAAAAGGAAGUAUAAAGAUAUUUUGAUCAGUUUGCUGAAAAUACGGACCGAAUUUGUAAAAUCGAAAGAGACGGUUCAAUUUUGCAAAAGCUUAAAACUUGUGAAUUUUUUAUACAAAUUGGCCUAUAUAUAUUUAGUAGCUGUGGUUGACUACAAAAUAUAAAGAUGCUUUCCUCUAACCCGUUAUAAGCUGAGAUAAACCAUUAACAAAAACUUCUUAUGUUAGAGAGAAUUAGAAUACCGUUCUCUAACAUUAUAGAAUAAAAAAGAUUAAAAAUUAAUUUUACUUGUCAUAUAUAGAUGUAAACAUCUAAUUUUUAUGGUAUAACCAUAAGUACUCUUUAUUAUAAAUUUUAAAUACUGUGCGUUUAUACAACACCUAAAAUAUUUGGGAUGUAUUUGUAAGAAGUUAGUUUCUAAAGAAUAUAAAUACAAAAGGUUGCCCAGAAGAGUCAAGUGAUCAAAUCUUAAAUCAAAAUUUCAAAUGGCCACAUUGUCGUAAUUUCACUUCAUGCAGUUUAUACAAGUUUUGUGGGUACAUAAUUUUUAGAUUAUUUCUUAUCAAACGGAUCUUGUUAUUAUUUAUAUAUUAUUGUACCGAGAACUGGUCUAAUCACUCUCAUAGGUCACCAUUGCUGGUGUGGUCAUUCUCUCACGUGCAAAUUUUGACGCAUACGUGCGUAUAUAUACAUAUACAUAUACAUAUAUACAUGACGUAUAUAUAUUCUGAAAACAUAAAUUCAGUACGUAUACGUACCCACCUUAUUAUAGAGAUCUCAUGCUGAGAAAAUAAUAAUAGAAAAAUACUUCUUGUACAGCUAAAAAGGGGUUGUAGAUCUUGCAGUAUCUCUCAUCCAAGGUUGAUAAAAAUCUAAAUAAAUUUUACUAAAAAUGAAAAAAAUUUGAUGUGACAAAUAAAGUAUUAAUAAUUUUGAAAUAAAGUGAGCGUAAAAUAUACACUCCACUUUGAAAUGUACAUAUAUGUUGUAAAUUUGAUGUAUUGUUACAGCAAUGCCAUCACAUUUGUUGUAGUCAUCCGGUCAAUGGUGGUACAUUAUUAUUUGACAUAUUAACCCGGUAAAUAUUUUUGUUGAAUAUAAAUGUUAAAAUAUUCUUAUUUAGCAAAUUAAUAUUUUUGAGUAGGAUGAUUGUUUUAUAUAAUUUAACAUGAUAUCAUAUUAUAAGGUAUUGGGUUUGACUUUCGCAAGAUUUCUAGUCUUUUGAAAUACAACGGUUAUUCUAUAUAAUUGAACAUUUCAUUCUUUUAGAAUAUAAUGAUUGUUUUAUAUAAUUUAACAUUUCUCAUCAUCAACUCUUAUAUUAUUUCAUUAUUCUCACAUAUUUAAACAAGUUCCAGAACACCCUGAAACUUACAUAUGAGGUCAUAGUUAAUUAGUAGAAAGGUGUAAAUGGCAAAGAAAUUGAUAUAAUUAGUAAUGAGUAAGUUUUUAAAUUACAUAUACUUUGAGAGCUUGGGCAUUUUUGUGAAGCUCAAUUUGGGCCUUGUUGGGCUUAUGCCCAAGGUUUGUCUACGAAACAAAGCCCAAUCAAGACAACAUACACGCUUUUACCUUUUUUUAAAACAUUUAUUUUUUUUUGGUUUGUCAAAGUGAAGAAUUCAAUUGAAUUCACUUGGAAUUGAAAUUUUUUGUUCGGAUUAAAUUAUAGUUAAGUGAAUUAUAUUCUCUUUUGAUGUUUGGUAAAAAAAUAAUAAAUUAUUUUUCCUAUUUGAUUCUCAAUUAUACAGUAAGAAAAAUAUUAUAACUAAUUUAAGAAGGGAUAUUUUGGGAUUACUUAUAACUAGCAAAUAAAUUCUCACCAAAUCAGACCUAAAAUCAUAGAAUUUGGAUGAAAGUCAUUUGUAUUAUGAGAAAUUCCACCAAAACCUUCUAAAAGAAUUAGAUUCUAUUAACUUAUGAUACCAAAUGACGAAUUUAGGGAAAUUAGAAUUCGCAUUCUUAAGAAUUUUAGAAAUUGGGGUAGCCAAAUGGGAUGUUAAUUAAUUUCUCAUAGUUUAAUUUGCUUACAAACUCUAUAUUUAUUAGCUUUCCUGGGCAACAAAAGACAAAAACACAAUGGUAAAAGAAAAAAAAGAAAACAAAGUACUGUGGCAACUUCUUUUUGUGCUUCUUUAUUGGGUUUAUAAACUAAGGCUUAAGAAGAAUUGAAUGAAUGACACACCCUACCAACCCAGAUAAGAAUGAUUAUGCAAAUCAACCAAGAUAACAUUAGGUACUGAGUGAUUUUUGCAGGUGAUGCAUAGGAACAGAGAGAUUUAUUUAUUCACUAGAUAUCGAUGGGACAGAUCGAAACUGCACAACAAAUCGAACCAAAUGUGCAUAAUUCAAAGCAGCUUCGCCCUUUCACACUCAUCAUGAAUGUGUCAAACUACAUGAUAUGGUUGAAACAUUCAUUACAAGGUGAUGUUUGCAGAAACUGUAUAAAUAUGCGCCUGAUUUUACCAAGUGGAGUGCAUUUUGUUGUACAGCAACCAACACAUUCCCAUAAUCACAAAGUUCCCGUCAGAAACAACAUGACAAUAGAAUAAUUUUCCACUGAAAACUAACUUUAUCCCUGCAACUUGUUUUCGAAAGCAAAGGAAUAUAAGUACAUGAAUUCCCCCAUAUGCGAAAUUAACACCAUGAAAAAGUUCCGUCAGUAAGCAAAGUGUCCCUGAUAAUAUCAAAGGGGACCACCACUACCAUAUUCACCUUCACAUAUGCUCCUCUUUUCUUACAACUUAUUCUGCAGAGGAAAAGUUCUCUCAAAAAAAAGAAAAAAGUAAAAAAGCAAUUGUUGCAAUGCUAUGAUUUGAAUUCAUCUAAUUCUCAGAUAUCAGGAAUAGACUACCUCAGGAUAGUUGAGCAUUUCCUACAUUUUUCGCACAUUCAUAUAUUCCAAGGAAACUUCUUUUGCCUAAUAAUUUCCAUUCAUGUAUUCAAUAUCUUUUUCUCCACAAUUCCUUCCUUCAGUUCAUAUAUCACUCAAGAUGCUUAAUUCCACUUAAGUCAGUUCAGCAAUAAGUUAUUCCCAAACCGAAAGAAAUUUGAUUGUACGGAUAAGAAAAUUUAUCGAAAAUUAACUGAAUGAGAUUCGAAAGCAUGUAAUCAGAAGAAUAACAUCAAUUCCCAGUGGAUACGACAAUGGCAAGACAAGUUAAAAGACUGUUUGAUGUAUAACUUGCAAGCACCCAAGCCGUUAAAAGUGUUAAACCAUAACAAAGUUCUCUAGCACAAGUUGAAAAAAAUAUAAUAAUGGAAUACCAGAAAAAGCUAAAGGCAAUAAAGCAUCAUGUUUUCCUUGAGAAUCUACUAAUCUUUUGGCUCCGUAACAAGUUAAUGUAAAGUAAUAAAAUUCAUGUCCGUUUGCGCUUUAUGAAAAUCAAGAGAAUAUUAGUUCAUAUGCUCUGCAAUACUGACAAAGUAAUAGAUAUACUGUUAGAGGCGGAUAAUGUGAACAGAGAAGGGAAUAAUCAUCUUGAAAGAAGAGCAAAUGAACGGAUAUUUUGAUAGAGAUAAGUGCGGCAUGCACAAUCUAGGAGUUAAAAUUGUCAAACUGAGUAUAUAGUAAAACAUUAUGCUUCAAUCAGGAACAGAAUCACUUAAUUAUACAGUAAAAUAGCAAAAUGAUGGGAAAGAAUGUUACACCAAACAAUAUUUGAGAGUUGCCGAAUCAACAUUUACAGAAAAAUCAUGUAGAAGUUCUUAAUUUUUUUUUUUCACACUUCAUAGCAUAUCUAAUUUACAACAAAUUAGGUCUCUGGAAAAUGAUAGAAACAGCGGGGGCACAAAAUAUAGAUACUAAUUACCAGAAGCGCAAAAAUGAAAACAAGAACUUUUAUCUGUUUAGAGGAACAACAAUGUUUGUAGCCGCAAAUUAGGAGAAAACAAUUCAAGCAAUAAAUAGAGCAUGCGAAGGACACAAUAACCAUUUUCUUUCAAGUCUGAAAUCUUCCACUCAAGUAGAUAACAAUAACUAAUCGACAUCACCAAACUUGAUACAUCAGAUCUAUUUUUACUUGCAGAUUUAUGUGAACAUCAGAGAUUCUAAUCAAAUAAAGCAUAGAAAUUAGCUUUCAUCGAAAUACAUAGUCGCUACUCAGUAUUGUUGUUGCCACUAUCAUCAGAAUCAUGUUGAAUUUUUGACUGAACCAAAAUUUCUAACAAUUUUGUUAAUGUAACAAGAUGUAAUAAGCAAGUCCUGCAACAGUGGCUUCAGGGGGGUCUAAUCCUCAAUGACCAAAAACUGUGACAUCCUUGCUAUACCUUAAUCGAAUACCCCCACCAUAUGGCAACUCACAUGUAUUGUCUGUUGCCUGUAUAGCAAACUCUGUUGCCAUGGGAUCUCUAGUCUUGUCACAAAGGCUCAAUACUACACAGAAUAAUGUACAGAAAUACUCAACAGAACAAACAAUAACACAAUGACAUACACAAACAUUUUCACAAGUACGGAGAGAGACAUAUAUAUAUAUAUAUAUAUAUAUAUAGAGAGAGAGAGAGAGAGAGAGAGAGAGAGAGAGAUCAGGAAAGAAAUUUUCUGUUAUUAUUCAGCACCUGCAAGUCUCGAAAAGACAUCGAUAAUCCACAAAAAGGAAAGAAAUCAAGAAAUCGAAAAAAAGUGACAACUAAUAAGUAGAUGUACAAGGGAAAAUAAAACUGACACAUUCUGUUCAUAAGUGAUCACCGUCGGCUUGCUAUCCCAGCCCAGUUUGUUAUUAUGGAAGCCAUAGCAACAAAAUCUUAAUAAUAUCCAUUCCACAUGAAUGCUGCACUAUUAUGAAAAAAAAACAUUGCAUCCAAAUCUUCUUCAUGUCCAUGAGACCACGGAGCUACUCACAAGAAAACACAAAAUGCAGUUCAAAACAAUACAACUAUUUGGAAAGCUUACUCUUCCUGCAUUCAGGCUGAUGAUCUGAAAAUCUCAGAACAGUUGUCACUAACGAGGCUACCACAUUUUUUGUAAAAAAGAUAAGUUGUUUUAAUGCAAAGACAUUGCUUUCCGCGUAGUAAAACCAUGCCUAAAUAACUCGGAACAUCUGAAUGAAGAUUCAACUAUCAUCAUACUAUGUUGUGACUUACAAGUAUCUACAGUACCAUAAAGCUACCGUCUUAUGCAAUAGUCAAUCAUAUAAAUGCAAUUGAGGACAUAAAAGGGGGGAUUUUCUUUUUUUGUUUUGACAGGAACUGAGUGCAAAUCAACCGAAGAAGAAUCCAAACGUCAUGAUUAACUAGAAUGUAAUGGUCCUGUAAUCCAAGUCUUAUUUUAUCAAGUAUUCAAAAAUCAUCAAUAAAUAAAUGGCUAAAUCUUGCAUUUAUGUCUUAAACCUUAGUUAAGUUCCUUUGGCAUCAUACCCGGAUUGUUAUGUGGAUGUGAUGCAUUAACACAUGGGAGGUUAAUAUCUCAAAACUGGAUUUCACAGCGCUAAUAUUAAAGUUUCAAUUAUUAUAUAGCUAGGAAAAACUAAGACAGUAGUCUUCUGGCAGUAAAAUUUAUGUUCUGACUUUUGCAAUGUGGUAACAAGUUUCAGUAGUUUAUAUGUUUACCUUUCCUUUUUCAUAAUAAUACACCUCAUACUUAAAUCCUUUUUCCAGGAUACAUAUCUUACACCUUAAGUUUAAUGCAUCUCAAUAAGCGUGAGCCUCUGAACUCCUCACGUUGUGCAUCCACCUCUGCAAAAGAAACACAUUGUUGGACCUUGUAACGUAAAUAACGUCUAGCUAGUAUGUGGCGUCUACUAUGUGAAUUAUGCGGAACUUCCGCUCAACACAUGGGUUUCAAUAGUCACCUCACUUUACGUAUCUAAGACGCUUGCCAUCCGCAGCGCAUCCACCCACUUGUCAAGUGAUAAAAUUAAUGUGUUGCCAGAUAUAUCCAGCAGAAUAAGUGAUAUUUUCUAGUUAGGCAUCUUUAAUAACAAAAGUUUGUUAGAGGAAUCAUUGAAUGCAGUGAUUGAACGAUAUACAAAUUAUAUCCUUAUAUAACAAAACCCCAGACAUACAAGACCAUAGUACAGUUCGAGCUAGAGUGCCGACGUGAUGUAACAGUAGUAUUUUUAAACACUAAUGCUAUAUCAAGAACAAUGCCACAAGUUGAUUGGAGAAUUUGCAGUUAUGCAAGUUCUGUACUGUAAAUAGCAUCAGAGUUUAAAGAGAUUUGCUUAGGAAGCAGGAGUUACCAAACUUAACAUAAAAAGUAAGAAGAGGCAAGGGCUGCAUAAUUUCCUGGGAAUAGUUCAAGAAACCAAAUUAUAUAAUACAAAACGACAAACUACCACAAAUGGAGAUGCAUGGCGAACAUCUUUCAGCUAAGAAGUAAGAACGAAUGAAAACAAAGCCAUUAAGGAAAAUAGACAGAACACACAUUGUACAUGUGAGAAGCAAUAUAGUUGCUACUUGUUUGUUUCCCAUAAGAGACAAAAAGCAAUGAAUCAUAUAAGAAUACCCAGUGCAACUAAACACUUUAUAAUGGAUUCAAGACAUACUAAAAUUGUAAUUGCAUCAAAUUAUUAACAUAACAGUAAGAGGCCUUUGGAAAUGUAAAUAAAUGAAGAGAUUACUAAAAAAAUAAAAAAGAAGUACAAAAACUCAGAAGAGUUACAUCAGACUGUUCUACCAAAUCUUCAGUUGAAUCUGAAUUCCAAAAAAUAGGCAGAAAUUACCAAUUAGGCAUAAUCAGUAUUUAAGCCCUCCAAGGAAAAAUCCAGUAUUGUGCAUCCUUCCAACAACGGAAAAAUCAGCAGCCCAUCACGGCACAAUUGUGAACAAAGUUCCCCAAAUAGCGGCUGGCAAUCAUGUCCCACUCUGGAGGGGCCCCAUUUGGGACCCAUGAAUUGAGCUCGAUCAGGCGCCCCCCUGCCGUUCUCUGCCCUCCAAUCACGAUCAGCUGGUCACCACAGGCGCGAAACGCCAAACCCCACCCAUUGGUAGAAACCGACCUUUCAGGCAAACCCCCUAGCGUAAUCCAUGUGUUGUUCUCUUUAUCAUACUUCCUUACCUUAUUCUCGGCGUAAUCCACGGCGUAGAGCUCGUUAUUCACAACGGCAACAAGUGGUGGCGAGCCAGCUACCACGUUGAGGCCGGCAGACAUAUUCUCAAUCACCCGCCAAGAACCUCUUUCCAAAUCAUACUCCUCGCCGCAGGUCAGAACCUGCGUAUUGGAAGCCAUUCCACCAAUAACAUAAAACUUGUCAUCCAUGAACACGCCCGAACACAUUUUUCUAGCUCGAAUCAUGCUAGGCAGUGUAGUCCAAGUUUUCGUCUCGGAGUUAUAGAGCUCGGCGGAACUUAAUAUAGUACCAUUAGUGUUAGUCCCACCAGCUAUAAUAGCUUUCUCUCCAAAGCUCGCCGAACCAAAUAAGCACCUCGGCGAGUUCAUCACAGCUCCCAUAGACCAGGUGUUUGUAAGAAUACUAUACCGAAGAACUACAUGGGAAAACAUGUCCAUCCCAAAAACAAGAAGCUCUGUGCCAACGGCAAGGGAUUCUUUAUCGAAGGAGUUGAACGAUUCGCUACGUCCUAUUAUUCUCGGAAUAGUAUUAAUCCACCGCCUGCGAUAAGGAUCGUAAGCCACCCAUUCAAGGCCAUCGCAAGAGAAAUAUACCCAAUGUUCGGUGAUACCCAUUUGCCGCCUUAUUCUAUAGAGCUCGCCAUCCCGAACUAAGGUUCGGAAGUUAUGGUUGAGGGAAGCGACCGCGCCGUAAUACGAGCGCGAGAGGCGGAGGAGGCAGUUAAGGGUGAGAUCACGGCCGAUUGGAUUGAUGAGGCAGUUUGGGUCAUAGGAGGUAUCACUGCCGCUCUCGUCGAUAUCAGGGGUGUGAGGGCGUUGAGGGGACCUCUUUCUUCUCCCCCGUCUAGAAUGCUCAUCAUCUUCUUCUUCUUCGUCCCCUGGCCGGUUGAGCGGGCGUUUGCCUUUCGAGGAAUCGAAGAGUUGGGAAACCAUACAAGCCCACUCGGAUUUGUAGUCGCAGGAGCUAAGGAAGAAUCUCGAGAUCGGGGACGAAUUGCCCUCAAACAUUAGUUGAAUCCCCUCAAUUUGAAAACAAAAUAUCAAAAAUUGGCAACAAAACACCACUUGAUACCACUCAGAUCUCUCGGAGAACCAAAAGGGAAAGGCGGAUUCAGCUCGGAUUCAGCUCGGAAGGAAAAAGUAAAGCCGACCCAGAUCCAAAAAUUCGAUUUUUUAAAAAAAACUUUACUAUGUUUAUAGCUCCUUCAAUAGAAGGAGAUCUAAGAAGCCUGUUAAAGAUCGUAAUUUUUAGAUCAGAAAAACAAAAAAACAAAAUGAAGAGAGAGCGAAUGAAGAAAAAAAAAAAAAAACCGCCUCUAAAAACCUAUGAAUCAACGAUUCAACAGGCGAUCAAAUGGGGCCUUUCGAUCGAAUCAAAUCGAUCUCACGAAGGCUUCAGAAAAUCGCCAUGAAAUCGAAGAUUAAGCACCGAUAGAUCCUGCGAUUUGCUUCGACAAAUGCACGAUUCAGCGAGCAGCCUCGGUUGCAAUCAGUUCCGGUAAACCAUACAAACAAAAUCCCUGUGCAAAGACCCCCCGCGCCCCCCCCCAAAAAAAAAAGGAGAAAUCGAUCUCGUUCUAGGUCAAAGAGGAAGGGGCAAAAGACGAGAAUCACACAGCGUGAAGAAGCGAUUUGAGAACUCACCUAUGGGGGCGCCUCUCUCUCUCUCUCUCUCUCUCUCUCUCUCUCUCUACACUACAACAUCAUCAUCUUCUUCUUCUUNCCCCCCCCCCUCUCUCUCUCUCUCUCUCUCUCUCUCUCUCUCUCUUCGCUCGAAAUCUAAAGCUUCGGGUCGAGCUUUUGGAGAAGGGUGGGGGGCCAUUUCGCCCUUUAUCCUACUCCCCCUCUCACACCCCCUAUUUUCCUUUUUCUUUUUCUUUUUUUUCUUUUUCGCCAAUUUUUUCCCCCUCUAUAUUUUUAAUUAAAAUUUUUGUCUAAAUAUUAUAUAUAUUUUUCUCAUUUUUGUGUCAUUUCAUUUUUUUCUAUUUUAAGCUUUUAUUAUAAAAUGUAUUUAGUAAAUAAAAUUCCGAAUAGUAUAUUGGGCCCCACAAGCCCUCUGCCGUUCAAAACUGCCCAUCUGCCAUUUUCUUCCUUAUUUAAUUCAUUUCAUUUUAUAAUAAUAUUUAUUUCAUUAGGAUGGAAAAGAAAAAAAAAAAAAAAAAAAACUAUAUAGGAUUGGAGGAAGUCUCCGUCACGGCUCUAUCACUGGGCAAACUUUCCCCGCUCCUGGUGCAUGCAUACACACACCAUGCACCGGAAUUGAUGCCACAAAUAUAAUUCACCACACAUAAAAAUAUUUUAAUUUGAAGGAAACUAAUAUACUAUUAAUAGUUUAAGUGACAUAAUAUUGAUUUAAGAUUUUAAAAAUAGAUAAUAAAAAAUUAUUUUUUUA
rnacentral:lncRNA from 1 species